GAGAUAGGUAGCACGCUACCCAUUUCGUUUAUUUUAUUUAGAAAUAAACUUAGCUGAAAAUGUGAAUCAACUAGGAUUCGAACUUGGGUCUCGGAUACCAACCACCAAGCCCUUUGCCACUUGCUCUAGGGACGGUCGGUUGGGUUUGAUUCUUAUUCCAUAAUUUUAUAUCUACAUAUCACCUACGUUAGCAUAAGAGAGAGCUAUUUUAUUUACCUUAUUCAAUUCUAACUACAAAGGGUGUAACACUGAAGCUAUCUUUUGUAUAGUCAGAUGGUGUCUUUCUUUCCACCUGGAUCCAAAUGAGAGAAAAAUCAUCAAUCAAGCUGUGAUGUAAAAUUGACUCGAUGUUUAUUGCCAUAUGUUGGAAUUUAUGGAAGGAACUCAAUAAUAGAAUUUUCAAUGAGUUGUGUAGAUAAACUCGAGUACCACAUAAUGAUACACUAAUGUGGCUCAAAUUUUUUGUAAAUGGGGAUUCAAUUAUUGUUGUGGGGCUAUUCAGCCCCUGCAAUUAUAAUUUAUACUUAUUUUACAAAUAACUCCUAUUACAUUCAAUAAAAUGUACAGGCAAUACCCGAUGCAUACCGACCGUCCCUAGAGCAAGUGGCAAAGGGCUUGGUGGUUGGUACCCGAGACUCAAGUUCGAAUCCUAGUUGAUUCACAUUUCCAGCUAAGUUUAUUUCUAAAUGAAAUAUACGAAGCGGUAGCGUGCUACCUAUCUCUCUAAAAAAAAAAAAAAAAAAAAAAAAAAAAAAAAAAAAAAAACCGAUGCAUUCCUUUAAAAAAAAGAAGUGAAGCUAUGUUCCCUAACCACAGGGAAGAAUUAAACUACAUGUAUGCAUCCUAGUUUUGGUUCAUGAUUUCUUGGUUACAUUUCAAAGAAACUUAAAAGUAUUUCCACAUAUAUAGUGAUGUUAAUUAGUUCAUAUGGGCGUUUGAUCUCUAGCAUAUCUGCAUAUGGGUAGAAUUUUUUUUUUUCUCUGAUUAAACAGGGAUAUACCCUAUUUGCAUAUGGGUAGACUUUUGGAAAGAGUGACUUUAAUUACCAAACAAGUGUGUGAUUGAAGUGCUAAUGCUAUUUUCUCUUGUCAGGUACCUGAUUGGACCAAUAAUAUGCACAUCUAAUUGCGUAUGCAUUUGGGCUUCCAAAUAAAUUCAAGAGAAACAUUAAUUAUAAGUUAAAACAAAUGUAGUUUUUCUAUUUGUUUGGACAGUAAAUAAUCCAGUAUAAAUAUAUAUUGAGAUACAUUUCCUUCCAUUUUCUUGAGGUUAGUGGAUAGAUCACUCAUGAUGAGGAUUUUGGACAAUUUUGAAAGAUAUUUAUUUUGAGACUUCCAACUUGUUUCCAUCUUCUAAAUUCUUGUAAUUCCUACAGCUGAAAUUUUGUUUUGAUAUGUGAUCUCAGCAAUAAUGAGAGUGGAAUUUACCACCGCAAUUAAUAUGGUAACUCCAUUGUGAGCUGUGUAGUAAAGAUGAACCUUUAUUAGAAACUUUAUUAGAAACCAAAAUGUUUUCAUUUGUUUAUUUGGGCUAAUAAUAAGAAUUCAAAAAUGCACCAUGGGAAAGCAAUGCUUCUUAAUUUUAUACUAUUGAUUGGGGUUACUUUUUUUUUUUUUUUUGUUUCCAUUAUUAUUAUGAUUGUAGCAGCUGAUUUUGCCCACGCUGGCCACAUGCUAUGUUCUAGAAAUUAUGGAGUUAGUAGGAUGCAGUAGACAGUUGACAUGUCAGAGAGAUACUUACCUAUAUAUGUAUUCAUUGAUGAGAGAAUAUUACUUACUCCUACCCACAUGACCACAACAAUGAUGUAAUGCAGGUAUUAUUGUCCUUGAAUGUUCUGGUGAAUAGAUUAAUUUGCCACACUACUGUUUAUAAGGUUUAGAAUUUUGAUAGUUCAUUACCAGGGCAAAAUAAGUAGAUAAAUUUCCAUCAUGCCCUUGAUUUGAAUUGAAGCUAAUGCUUCAUAGCAACUUUCAUAUGUCAGAAAAUGAAUAAUACACUGUUGUGCAUUUAUUUUGCACUUUAGUGUGCUAGUUCAUGUAUUGACUUGUGCAAACUAAGAAUUUAAUUAAUUUGAACAAUCAGUUUGGUCCAAUGCUUGUUUCUUUGAAUUGGUUAAUUCCAUUAACUAUUUAGGUGCAUACAUAGUACAAAUUUAUAUCAGAACCAACUUGAGAUUCCACAAAAUCGGGCCAGCAUUAACUCGCCCAAUUAAUUUCAUUUUGAUAUUAGACUCGAUUUCAUCUUUACAUGUAGAACAAAGAAAUGAAUAAACCAUUUAUAAAUAUACAAUUCCAUACCAAAUCUAAAUAUAUAGUGUAGCAAUAAUAGAUCUGCAUGUCUUUGAUUCCUCAUAAAAUGGAAUUUCCAAGGAAAACAAUCACAAAUCAUGCCUUCUUUGAUCCAUUGAACUGUUACUGCCAUUUCUAUUCAAGCAUAUUAGCUGGUGAUCAAGUUACAAUUUGUGACUCAGAAAUAGCCAUCAACUUAUGAGGCACAUUAUUAUACAGCAUGCUUUUGAUUGAACCAACCACAUUAAUUGAAUAACAAUCUACUCAACCCAAAUUCCAACAUAGGAAACUUGAGAAAUUAAAACCACAAAGCCAUGAAUUGAGGGAAUUAAGAACCAUGAUCUUGAACCACAAAUUAAGCUGCAUAAAAGUAGACAUAAUAAUAAAAAAAAAUAGUAAUGAGAAUUAUAAAAGUGAGAAAAAAAAGAAGAAGAAAAAUCUAGUCAGAGGUGCAACAUCAACUUGCAGCAGAAUAAAACAACCAACCAUCUCUUGUCCAACUAUUGGGAUAAAAAGGAUGUCAGCAAGCAGGUAUAAUAUGAUGUGAAAAAACAUUAGAUAAAGGGGGAAUAUAUUCACCUUGUCUGUUGCAUGCUCUGAAGGGGAGAGUCCUUCAAGAUAUGACCAACAAUAUCUUCUCCUUUGCAUAUGAAGGAGGAUCCUUCAAGAUAUGCCCAACAAAAGGAAGAUGUGAGGCUGUCAGGGCAUGACCUAGCAAGGAUUGGCCAUUUAUGCUUGUAGGGACAAGUAUUUUGUGAGGAGCCCUUUCUCUCUCUCUCUCUCUCUUAUUGAAAAAAAAAAAAAAAAAAUCUUACAACUAAGGAGAGGUUGAAUAAAUGCUCUCAAUUCAAUUAAUAUUCAGUUAUUUUCUAAAGAAUAAAUUUUAAAUCCACAUUUAGAUAGAAGAAUUUUGUAAAGAGGGGUUGAUUAUGUCCUCCACCCAAUCAAUUUUUUCAACACAAGACCAUGAAACUAAAUAAGCUAUAUUUUUCUGAAAAAAUUGAUUUGAUGGUCCAAAUUAAAAGGUACAAGUUUAAAUGAACUGCAUCUGACUCCUCCUUUCAUAAAUUUUUAGUCCCACUUCUUAACAUGAUCUUCAAAAUGGUCACUCCAAGCUAGAUCAUGCUGGCAGCUUCACCCAUUCCCAUGGACAAUUCCUAGAAACCUUCCUACUCUCAAAUAUAGUGGUACUGGUAAUAGGAGUUAGUCUAUGAUUGAAGGAAUCUAAUUAAGGGCCUGGGCCAAACAAUAAUAAUAAAAAAAAACAUGGGGGCUAAUCCUACAAGAAAGAGAUUUGAUUCAAGUAGGGGGAAAAGGUUCCACUAUAACAACUGAAUGACUUGGAAGGUAGUGUUAUCUAAGUCAACUCCAACUCCUAGCAAAAUAUAUAUAUGUAUAUAUAUAUAUAAAAUGCAAUACUAGACUUGUUAGUGUGACACAGCUGAAUCAUACUAAUACUAUGCACAAUAGCACAAGAGUGUAGUAUACUACACUACCAUGAAAAAAUAUGCAAUAAAUUGGUUCAUAUAUACAAUGAUUUUUUCUUUUUUCAUUACAAAAAUGAUCAAAAGUAAGAAAACAUCCCUUCUUGCUUUACAAACAAGCAUCUGCACAAAGUAAUAUUGAAAAAAAAAAGAAGAGAGAAAGCAUGCAUGGAGAAAAUCUAAAAAUGUGUUGCUCAAGAUUAAUUCCAGCUUUGAAAAAGAGCAAAUAUAAGUUAAAAAAAAAAGAUUAAAUAAGGACAAAGACAGAUCAUAUGGCAACACAACAUAUAGAUUGAAGGAAGAGAAAGUGUGAACAUUAGCAUGCAGAUCAAGGUCAUACAAAAUAGAUGGUAAACAGAAGCACGGAAAACAAUUAGAGAUGAAAGAAAAGAGAAACAUAGCAUGAAAACUAACAUGAUAGAACUACUAAACCUCUUCCUGGGCUGUGAGAUUUAUACAUGGUUUGAACUCCUUUGACCGGCCAGAGCAAGUGGGUGUGAGCCAUAAAGUAGAGAGAGAGAGAGAGAGAAAGAAAGAAAGAAAGAAGGGUCUAGAAAGAGAAAGAGAACAGGAUGAUUAGGGUUAGGGUUUGAGUGUGAUAGGUGUGGGAGAGAGAGAGAGAGAGAGAGAGAGAGAGAGAGAGAGAGAGAGAGAGGGUUUUUAGGGUUAGAUAGUUUGGCGAGUCAUAGGGGCCGUACCCCCAUGAGCGAUCACAUUAGAUAACACUGUAAAAGCUUUUAAAAAUUUCACAAGGUCGAGAUGGAACGGAACAGCAUUUUUUUCUCUUUUAUUUAAUUGGUAAAUUCACAGGAGCAGUCCCCUUACUUCGCCUAUAUUAUGAUGUCCAUUUUACUUGCCUUCGAAAGCCCUAUAAUAUAAUCUAUAUAUGGUUUACUCAAACUUACUUGAAUUUAGUCUCAUAAUAAAUAAUAAAUAAAUCUAUCUGUAAAUAUUAAAAUUAGUUUUAGUAAUUGAACUUUCCGUACACUUUACGUUUUAGUUUUUAACCAAUAAAAAUAUCGGGAUUGUUUGUUAUAAAAUAAUUUUUAAAUUUAUUUUAGGAAAAACUUUAAAAACCCGCAUUGUGGUUUCAAUUUUUUUUACUUUAGUAUUCUAUGGUUUAAAGUAUAUCAAGUUAGUACCAUGUGGUUUCUCACUUUAUCACUUUAGUACCAUGUGGUUUAAAGUGUAUCAAGUUAGUACCUUGUGGUUUUGCACUUUACCACUUUAGUACCUUGUGGUUUUAAUUUUGUAUCAAGUUAGUACCCUGUGGAUUUUUAAACCAUUGGGUACUAAAGUAAGAAAGUGUGAAACCACAGGGUACUAAAGUGAUAAAGUGCAAAACCACAUGGUAUUAACUUGAUACACUUUAAACCACAGGGUACUAAUUAAAGUGAUAAGUGAGAAACCACAGGGUACUAACUUGAUACACUUUAAACCACAGGGUACUAAAAUAAAAAAGUGUGAAACCACAUGAGGGUUUUUUGAAGUUUUCCCUUUAUUUUAAGCAAAUAAAAUAGUUUUUAUAUUUGAAGGAAUAUAAUAGUUAUACAGAAACAAGCUUUUAUAUAGUGAGGAAUUCUACACUGUCACACUUGCAACACGCGCGUGAUCAAUAUCAAGCCAAUCACAUUUAAAAAAAAAAAUACAAUAAAAAUAUUUUUUUAAUAAUCAUGAUGGGACAUAUAUCUCUAAAAAGAGAUAUUUGAUUAGCUUGUUAUGCCACGUCAUUAAUAUAUUCGUUGCAUUCUAGAAUUUUUCCCAUAUAACAGCUACAUUGCAUUAUUUAUGUUCCAGCUAAAAAUCAUUAUAGUAUGCUUAAAUUUUAGAAAUAAAAUAAUCUCGAUUAAAAAUAUUAUAUUAGCAGUAUGACUAUAAUAUUUUUAUUUUUUUCCUUCAGUUAGAUUCCAGUCAUUGAGACAAAAAAAGUACAGGAGCAAGUUGGGAUGUGAAAAUAGUAUAAGUACCAUUAAUUCAAACAUUUUUACAACAAUUUGAAUAUAAUAUGCGACCGUUGCAGAAGCUGCGGGAUCCAUCCAUAACAUGACAAGACAACAAUAAUAGUUAUUGCCUGCAGUUUAAUGCUUUCCGAGGGGAAAAUUUAGAAUGCUUUAUAUUACUGACGUGACGUGGAUUCUUUGAGUAGUAAAAUUAUUUUUUUAAAAUCUAUUCGUUCUAUUAUAAUUAAUAUAAAAUUUAUUUUAUUAUAUAUUUUUUUAAAAAAAUAAUAAUUUGAUAUUAAUGAUGUGAUGUAAAUAUGAUGCCGUAGAUUUUCUCUUUUCAAGGACUCUUGAAUUUUGGAUUGUAGCCGUGGCUAUUAGAGAAUCAUUAUACAAAAUAGAAGCGCUAUUUGUGUGACAUCCUUCUUUUCAGUGGAUUUAUCAUUCUAAAAUUAUUGUAAUCUUAAUAUAUUCAAUAUUUUUAAUCUCUUGGUCUUAACCAUUGUUUAAAAUAUUACAGUCAUAUUAAGAAGAUUAAUAUUAUUAUUUCUUAUAUAUAGAACUAUUUCAAAUUUUGAGAAUAUCACAUUUCUUUCCUCUUAGAGCCCUUGGUGUUCUAGUUACGUUCGAGUACUAUGCUCACAAGUACUAGACGAUAUAAGACUUAUUUUACUAGUCUUAUCAUUCAGACUCUGACUUUAACAUGUCAUUUUCAGUUCCUAAUUUUUAACGUGUCAUUCAUGUUGAGAAAUUAGAUUGCAAAUUUUAAUAAUGCAUGUGUAUUUGAUAAAUUACUUGGUGAAAUUUAUGUGUUAAACGAAUGGACUCCUUCGUAGGGACAUGUCUGUUCAAACGAAUGGACUCCUUCGUAGGGACAUGUCUGUUCAAAUGAAUGGACUCCUUUGUAGGGACAUGUCUAUUCAAAGAGACAUGACUUUUCGAUUCGGAUGUACCUUUUGAAAACAUAUAAAUAGAGGCUCUUGUGCCAAAAUUUCAUAUUAUCAAAUAGUUUCCAGAUUUCAGAGUUAAGAGCGUGAGAGAUUCCGAGUUUUGCUUCUUGAGUAUCUCUAGCCUCGUUCUAUCCCGAGAGUACUUUGUCAUAACCCGAAGCAAACUUUGUGUGGGGGCAAAUCUACUCUUUGGAAAGCGCUGAACCCGUGGCUCGAGGCUUUCCCCGUGUACGAAUAUUUGCUCGUGUUUAUUACUUGAAGUGCUCGUGGCGUCUCUUGCGGUUGUCAUUCCAUACCGUCCCUAACAAUUCAAACCUAGUUUAAUUAAUCAAGACUCAUCUCACAAUUAAUUUGAAAUAUAAAUAUAGAGAAAUUAAAAGUUUUAUACUUUCAUACUCACAACGAAUAUGUUAUUGCUAUCUUUUAAAUGUAAUAUAUAGUUAGGAAUAUAAGUAUUUAGAUAAUUUAUUAUGAAUUUUCGCUAUGGGUAUGAUCUUUCGGAGGAUCUAUUAAAUACAAUGAAGAGUUCUUACCUUAGCCGCGUAAUUAUAGAUUAUAGAUAUUUAAGAAAUCACUAAUCCUUGUCACUUAGGGGAGGUGCUGCGGAAAAAUAGCUCGACCCAAAAUGAUAAAAAGCCGUCACAACCCAAGCACAACGACACAAUUAUCAAGUGCGCGCUCUACAACUGAGCUAACAUCAUCAAGUAAAGACUUUGGGUUUCCAUCAAGCCACUGCUACAUCUAUUUCAUUAGGAGUUGACAAUAUUUUAACAAACAUUCUAAGGGAUGGUGAGUCCAAGAUGCUGAAUAACAAAGUUUUAUUUUGAAGAAACAUCAUCACUAUGAGAAUGUACACGCAAUAGAAAAAUUAAUUAUGUCAAUCUAUUAAGAUGCCGUAUGCUACAGGUGAAUAUUCAUAUGCGACAAUAUAUAAAUACUAAUUUUCGGAUCAUUGAUCCCCCUCUAGCCUGAUCUAUCUAAUGUCUUGUUCAAGAGGUAGGAAAAAAUUGCAACUCACAUGCACCAAUUAGUAGGUAUGAGAGGAUUAAUGCCAGAUCCCUAAGGACAAACAAUUGAAAAGAAAUAUCGAUUCUUUGGGAUUAUUCUUACCUUCUUAAACAGAAUGAACAAAGAUGGAAUCAGAUUGAUUCCCGAAAUGCGUUUUUGGAUCUUCCUCAAUGUCCCGACUAUUUAAGGAACGUGAGAAGCAGAUGAAUAAUCAUUUGCUUUCGAAAGAAAUCGAAGAAUUAAUUAAUCAUGCUUUCCUCUCAGAGAGCAACUUAGUUUUUUCAUCUGCAUGCACGCACUUUACUUUAUUUAUUUAUUUACAUUAAUCAUAGAAUCUUUUUGAGGAAUGCUUCAAUACACCAGGUAAAAUAAAUCUAACCGUUCAUAUUUUAAGGGCGAGAUUGACUUUUGCAUAGUGAUUACCUGCUCAACAGGUUACCAUUCGUAAGGAUAAUAUGGAAAAAAAAAUACAAACUACUAAGCAAAUUUGAUCAACCUUAUACAAAUAUUUGUUUCCUUGUUUAAUUUUGUUACUUACCAAAUUAGAUAGUGCUAAUUUGAUAAGUAAUAAACCUUUAUAAAUUGAAUUUAAAAUUUAAUUUGAGCUUAAACUUUAUAAUUGUGUACAUUAAAUUCAAAUUUAAUUUUUAUUUUUAUUUUCAGAAUGAAAAAAUUUAUGUUUAAAUGAAUAGUAUAUUUCAAUUCAAAUUGUUAAUUUGAUAUAUUAAAAUGACACGAAAUUUCGAAUAUAUUAAUUUAAUUUAAAUUAUAAAUUAUGCUAUAUUUAUAAACAUAACUUUUAUUUUUUAUUUAAAUUAAAGGCUUUUAUUUUUAAAAUUAAAUUCAAAUUGUUCAUUCGAUAGUCAAAACAACAUUAAAUUUUAAGAAUAUUGAUUAAAAUUAAAUUUUAAAUUUAGAUUUAGUUUAUAUUAUAGUUAACAAAUAAAAUUUGUUAACUAUUUAAACUAAAUGAUACUAAAGCAAAAAAGGAAAAGAGGAGCGGCGAGGAAGAAGAAAUCACGACUACGUGUAGGAAAAUAUUGCGAUCCACAAGACUGCACUCAGCCUCGUGGACUGUGUGGAGUGAGAGGUCCACGGUGGACCUCUCGCUCCACUCCCCCUGUGUGUGUGUGUGUGUAUAUCCAAUUUUAUUUUUAUAUUUUAUAAGAAUUAUAAUUAUUUAUGCAUGAUAAUAGAAUAAAUCUAAAAAAAUUUUAAUUAAAUAAACCAAUUUAUAUUCCGAAUUUUUAAAUGAUAAACGUAAAAUUUUCGUAUAAAUCGUGUAUACGAAUUAUUGGUGAAUCUAAUUUUUAAACCGUAUUUUUCAACGAACUUAAAAAUUAAGAUACGAAUUUUAUUUGUAUUUUAUCCGUGUCGAAUUUUUAUCGUAUUCGAAUUAACUAACUAUGGUUUAAAGACAUGAGGUUUAAUUUAGGAAAAGUAAUAAUACAAAGAUGGAAUAUUGGAGGAUAAGAAUGAAGGAAGGUGGAAUAUUCUAAAUUUACAAAAAUAACAUGUUAUAAGGAUGGAAUUUACCAAAAUGCCCUCAUUGCAAACUCCAUGUAAUAAAAAAAAAUUUUGCCCUAAUUAAAGUGGUGACCGGUAUCUAUACCCCCAAGUGCCGGUCACCCUUUUUUAAUAAGUCUAUCGUUACCGUCCAUUUAAAGAAUUUUAAUGGUUGAGAUUUGUUCGGUGCAUAGGAGCAUUGCUCAAUAUUUUUAGGUCCCAAUAUAUCCAAUGCCGGAUAGCUGCCAAGCAGCACAAGUUGGAAAACACUAUCUGUGCCCCUGCCACAUUUAUAGUGGCUGCUAUAGCGCUUGCUAUUGGAUCAUUACCCGCUUUGAUACCCCCCAAGCGCUACGUACUUGUUAUCCGCUAUUUACAACCGUAGAGAGAAUACAUCAAAAUUGUCUUACUUGCUUUUCUUUGAUGAGGUAGAAAACAGUAAAGACUAACUAGGAUUUUCAUCUUUAGAACUCUUUUUUUAAUUAGAAUCUUUAGAAUUUUCAUCUCAUUGUAGACCACCAAUGUUGACAUAGCAAGUAUACAUAAAUUUGCACAUUUCAACAUCUUUCUUAAACAUUGCUAACAUUUACAAAUUAAACUAUAUAUUAUAAGAACACACUACAAUUAAAGUUUUCUCACAUUUAAAUUCUACACGUAGGCUAAAUAGCCCAGCCAUCAUUUAAUAAAUGUAGCUCUGAUAUCUAUUCAAGGGAAAAUUAAUCUUAGCAAAAGAAAGAACACCAGAUAAUAAAAUGUAAAAAAAUAUAUUACAUGAAAAACAACAAAAUAAUAACAAUACCAAACAUCUCACUAGCAUGUUAUGUCUUACCUAAAUCAAUUAUUAUGUGAAGAAAACUAUUGCCUAAAAAAUCCAGUUAGACCCACACUUGCCACAAAGAUUUCAACACUACCACAAACCAUAUAAUUAAGUUAAAGGAAACAGAUGAUGCAAGUGUAUAUUAAAAGUGUUAGAUAACCAAUAAUAACAAGAAUAACUUUUAAAGAGAUACCAUGGAUAGAUCAAUGCAUUAAUGAGAAAUAAAGGACAGUAUUCAAUCUGCAAAAUGAAUAUUGAUGUAAAAGGCAACAAAAGCAUAAAGAUCACAAUGACAACUAGAACAUAUUCAAUCAAAAGUAUGCAAGGUGCAUUUUUUUUUUUUUUUUGAGAGAUGGUGCGAUAUUUUGGGAUAUACCUCUUUCCACUCUAUAAUAGAAAACAUAGAUAGAAAAAACUUGUUUAUAUAUAUAUCAGCCUAGUUAUAUAUAUAUAUAUAUAUNAUAUAGAACUAGGCUAAUAUACUAUUAAUAGCACCAAGUCAUUGGUGCUACCAAGUUUUUGGCCAUUCGAUUAAGAGAUGUGCGGUUAGGAUGAAGUGGGCCCCCUAGGGUUGAGUGGGUGGUUGGUUGAAUAGUAUGAUCUAACGGGUGAAAAUGAUCAAAAGAAUAGAUCUAACGGCGGAAGACUUGGUAGCACCAAGUGCUUCGUGCUAUUAAUAGCAUAGUAGCCGAACUCUAUAUAUAUAUAUAUAUAUAUAUAUAUAUAGACUUAGGCUGGAAUACUAUCAAUAGCACCAAAUAUUUGGUGCUAUUAGGUUUUCGGCUCUUGGAUUAAAAAAUAUACAGUUAGGAUGAUGUGGGCCCCCUAGGGUUGAGUGAGUUAUUGGUUUAAUAGUAUAAUCUAACAGGUGAAAAUAGUCAAAGGGUUAAAUCUAACUGCCGAAAAUUUAAUAGCACCAAAUGCAUGGUGCUAUUGAUAAUAUAUAUCCCAGCCAGACUCUAUAGAUAUAUAUAUAGGCUAGGGCUACUAUAUUUUUAUGAGAUAAGAACCCCUUGUACUCAUAAGUUUUCGACCAUUGUAUGAAGGGAUGUGCGGUUAGGAUGAUAGUGGUUCCCAGUUAGUUUAAUAGUGGUCCCCUAGGGUUGAGUGGGUGGUUGGUUGAAUAGUAUGAUCUAACGGGUGGAAAUGGUCAAAGCAGUAGAUCUAACGGUCGAAAACUUAUGAGUUUAAAGGAACCUAAACUCAUAAGAGUAUAGUAGCUAGACUCAUAUAUAUAUAUAUAUAUAUAUAUAUAUAUAUAUAUAUAUAUAUAGUGGGCUGGUAUGCUUAUGGAAGUACGGAGCCCUUCGUGCUUCCAAGUUGUUUUCGAUGUUCGGACUUUCGAAUCGACGAUCGGCUCCAUUAGAGUUGAUCUAGAGUAUUUGAAGUACCUAGAAAAUAAAUUUUGUGAUUUUUCGAUAUCAUUUGCCUAGUGAUCGAAGGGGCUCAAAAUCAAUAAUUUUAACGGCCGUGGUGAGCCGGUUGCAAGUUUAACGGUGUAGAAAUAUCCAAAUCACAUGAAAUUUUGAUAGAAAAUUCUUUAUACCAUAUAAAACAAGAUCAAUAACUUUGAUCUAAAAUUUUAAUGUCAUAUCAUCAUAUUUUGUAAGAUUUUUAUUACUAGCCUGAUUUUGACCACUCGAUCACUAGGCAAUUAUAUCGAAAAAUGCAAAUUUAUUUCUAGAUACCAAAUAUCUAAUCAAGUCUAAACAGACCCCGAUCGUCAUUCGAAAGUCAAACCUUGAAAACAAAGCUGAGCCCGGAGCCCGCCUGCUCAAACACAUCCUAGCGCCUAUAAGUAUAUACUAUAUAAUUAUAUAUAAAUAUAAUACGAUAAAGUCCGCUAGUCUUGAAAAGCACAAGCACUUGGUGCUUGUAAAAUUUUACCUGUAAAUCUCGCGCUUUGAUUAUUGUACUGCCGUAGAUAUACUAUUCCACCAAGCCACCCACUCAACCACUAGGCCCACUCAUUGUAACCGCACAGCUUUAAUCCAAGGCUAAAAACUUACACACCAAUAACAUGACGUUUAAAGCAUAGGAACUCAAUUUAUAUAUAUAUAGUAUAGAAUAUAAUAUACUAAUAUAUAUUAUUAUUAUAACUAUAAAAUACUAUAUUUAUAAGUUAGGUCUGGUGCUAUUAGAAGCACGAAGGCUCCGCCUCCUAAGUCCAUUUCAAUGAUAACUUUCGAAUCGACGACCGAAUCGGCUCGUUAGACUGAUUCUAGCAUAUUGAACUAUUUAGAAAAUAAAAUUUGUUGGAUUUUUCGAUACUCAAUUACCUAGCCAUAAAAGAAUCAAAUCAACGGGCUGAAAAUAAAAAAUUUCAUAAAACAGUGUGAUAUAGCAUUAAAAUUUUGAUGGAAAUUAUUAAUUUACGCUAGAUCAAGUCUAACGGACCAUCGUGCAUUCGAGCUCCAUCAUCGAAAACGGCUAGGAGUACGAGCCUCCGUGAUCCUAAUAGCAAUCAUGACCAUAUAUAAUAUAAUAUAUAUAGAUAUAUAUAUAUAUAUAGAAUUGAAUCUUCGAUACUUGUAAAAGAACCAGUCGUUGUUUUAUAAAUUUAGCCUUGGAUAAAAGAGUCAUAAUAAUUGAGCUCUUUAUACUUAUUAAAAGUACCUCAGUCAUUGAUUUGUAAAUUUUUAGCCCUUGAUGAAAGAUAUACGGUUAGGAUGAUAGUACCCUCUAUAGGGUGAUGGUAGUUGUUAAUAGUGAUCUACACGAUAAGAAUGAUCAAAUGAAUAGAUCUAACGUAAAAACUUAGAAGUACUAACUGCUUGUCUUUACAAGCACCAAGCUAUCAUAUAGGUCCGCUGUGGUGCUUGAAAACCAAGUAUUGUGGGUGUUAAAUUUUUACCUUAGAUCUACGCCCUUUGAUCAUUGUCACUACCGUAUAAAUUAUCCAUUCAACCACUACCCACUCAACACAGGCCCACAUCAUCCUAACCGCACAUCCCCUUAAUCUAAGGAAUAAAACUACAAGCAUCCCAAUGACUGAUACUUUAAAAGCAUAUAGCCAAUUAUAUAUAAUAUAUUAUAAAAAUAUAGUAUAUAAUAAUAUAUAACUAAGCUACUAUAAAUUACGAAGCCACGGAGCGGCUCUCUGCUACCCAUAAGUGUUUUUAAGAGGCGCUUCAAUCGACACGCCCGUAGACUUGAUCACACUAUUAAAAUAUUGAAACAAAUUUUAAUAAUUUCGAAUAUCUUUACCUAUCAAACAAGUAGUCUAAAAUUGAACGCUGAAAAAUAAAAAUUUCUAAAAAUAAUGUGAAAAGAUUAAUUCAAAUCAAUAUACUAUCUUACUCUAAAUAUGAAAAGAAAUUUUUAUAAAAUUUUCAUCGAUUGGCAGUUUUAAAUACCGUUAAAACUCUCAAACACACAUAUCGGCCAUAAAAUUGUCAAUUUGAAUCGUUUGAAGCACUAGUCAAAUGAUGUUGAAAAAAUCUGAAAUUUAGUUUCCAAAUACUUUAAACUAGUUAAUCAAUCCUCACGAGCCGAUCGUCGAUUGGAACUGCAUCAUCGAAACAACUGCUAGGCAAGAGCGCCGGUUCUACCGAUAGAAAGACGCCGACAUAUAUAUAUAUAUAUAUAUAAUAUAAUAUAAUAUUUAAGUACUAUGGCUAGGCUAACUGUAACUUAUAUAGUAUAGAGUACUUGUCCUCAUAAGUUUCGAUCGUUCGGCAUUAAAAAAUAUUACGUAGUAGAGAUUGUUUUACGGUUAGGCCUUGAUAUGGGCUCCUCAGGUUAGUGGUAUUGUUGAAAUAUAACUCUACGGGUAAAAAGAUUACCGAGCCCUCUACGCAACACUUAUAGUACAAAAAGCUCUAACUCAUAAAGUAUAGUAGCCAGAUCAUAUAAAACUAUAGUAGAUAACAAAGCAAUUGAAAAGAAGAAAAAUAGAUCAUGUCAUAAGCUAACUUUACAGUUACUACACUCAAUUGAUAGGCACAAAAGUCGAAGACAGCUUUUGCACUUGUCGGUUGAUUUUAAUGGAAUUAAAGGCAGUUUCCUAAACUUUUCAGAGCAAGUUAAAAUCAAUUCAACACCUUGAAUAUAUCUCUGAAAAAUUUCUCUUUCAAUCAAUUUACCUUUUAAUGUACUGACGCCUACCUUAACAUGUUGGUUAAGUGACUAAUUGGAGUUUUUUAGCUUAUAGUUGGCUCACAUUCUUUAAAGUAGAAUUCAUAUUCUUAUAAAAAAAAAAUGAACAAAUAGAAAGUAUUGCUACUUUCUCUCGAAUCAAUUAAACUUGUUCUUUCGCAUUUAAACUCCAAAAUUGCAUGGUACUACCAGGCUAGGUUAAUAACUCCUUAAAAGUUUAUUAAAUUGUUCACAUACUAAAAUGAAAUUUUUUUGGCUAAAGCUUCACAUAAUUAACAUGAUGGUUACAAGGGUAAAUAGUGGUCAUUUUUUUGCCACCAUGUAUUCACCAAUGGCAAGCAUAUAUGGCAACUACAUCAUAAAGAUUCCCUUUCUAAAAUAGUAGAAUUUAAAGCAACACCUGCAUGCUUUUAACUUCUGCAGAAGCCCCACCUUCAGUCAGGUGGACACAAUGCACAAUUUAAGAAAACAAUUCACACCCCAAGCAUAAAAGAUACUAGAUCUCUCUUUAUCAUGAAUAGAGCACUAAGGCCUCAAAACAGUUCUUUACCUAUAAGAUGUGGCUUUCCUACAUAGAGAAGAACAUAGCUUAAAAUAGCUCUCUGUGGUCCAAUUGAGGUGUGAAUGCAUGCAUAUUGCAUGCACGAAAAGAUGUAUCACCUUGACUCACAACAAUGAGUCCAACCCAGAUGAGCUGUUGAGUGGUUGAGAGAGAGAGAGAGAGAGAGAGAGAGAGAGAGAGAGAGAGAGAGAGAGAGAGAUUGCUCACUAAGAAAAUGCUGGUACAAAUAUAGCAUUGUUUUGCUUGUACUAGCAAAAUACAUUAUGAAGAUAGUUUUGCAUUGAAGUGAUCAAGGUACCAUGUACAAAAAUGGCUACAAUAUGGUUGGUUUAAAAUUAAAAAACUUGGUAAGAUAUCUUAUGUAUAAAGCCAAUUCUAGACAUGGUUUUUUACCAAAAAAACAUCAUGUCAGAGAUUAAAUCGAGUCAAAUUCAAUCAGAUAAAACUUAAAAAUUAAAUUUACAUUCAAAAUUUUGAUUUACACACUGGGCAUCACAAAUGAGCUUAAAAGAGCCUUCGAAUUGGUAUUCGAAGCAAGGUCAUGAUCCGAAAGAAACGAUAGGCAAUCGCCAUCAUCGGGUGGUCCAUAGUGUACAUGUGCAUUCAGUUGGUAGUAGUACUUAGGGGUAACAUGAACAAACUGAAAAUAUCUACUUGUAGCCAUUAAGACCUACAAUUCCAUCAAUGUCCUGUUCAAUUCAGUUGCAGACCACAAUGCAUGGUGUGCCAGGUUGACAAUUUAAGUAUCAUGCAAGGGUUGUAGAUAGUGAAGCAUCCCACUGUGUGGAAUCCUAACAAAACCUAGAGAAAAACUCCAGAAUCAUGAAACCCUAAUAAGUGAGUGGUCCAUGGAUGAAGCUCCCUCCUUUCAAUGUAACAUUGCAUUGUUCCUUAGAAGUGGUCCUCCCCCAUAAUACUACCCACCAACAAUAAUUAAAGAUCUCACAGGCUGUGAACCAGAAUAAGGCCAUUAAAUAUCCCAUGUAUCAUAACCAGAAGAUGUAUGAUAUACUAAAAUUGUCAUGCUAGCUUGUUUAACUUUCCAUGCACAAAAUAUUUAGGGGGAAAAAAACAAGGCACGCCGCGCUGGAGAAAUCGGGACCAUCGACACAUGGACUACAUCGGAAAGAUCGAUGGACCAGUAGAAUAUAUAUAUAUAUAUAUAUAUAUAUAUAUAAUGGUCUUAUUCUGGCGUGGCUGAUCGGUUCAUGCUCAAUGUCAUGUGUAUGCACCGAUCAAAAUAUUAAAUUAAGUAGAAUUUAUAUGUGCAACCGCUUCAAUUCUUUUUACUAAAUACCUAAUAAAAAGGGAAAAGUAUGAAGAUUGUCUAGCGAAAUCGAUGAAAAUAAGAUUUUCAUAGCCUAGUAAUUAAGCAACAUGUAUCUGACCAUCAUGUGGAUGUCCAGAAAACAGCUUAGGAAUAUAACAAAAGCAAGAGCUACAAUUGCAUCAUACCAAAGACUACAAGUACUACAACUUCUCUUUUUUCCUUUUCCCUUUUUUUUUUUUUUUGAGAGAAGUGUUACAAUUAAUAGUAAUUGUAGUAUACAAUAAUAAUGAAUUGCUAGGAUCAAGAAAACAGUAGUCAGAGAUCUAGAAAUUGAUGAACCCAGAUGAGUUGAUAGAGAAGUAAAACUAUCAUGACAGUUGGAAGAUUAGAAGAUGGACCACUCUUGCUCUAUAGAGUAUGCAUGUAGUACUCAGACUAGUCUAUAGAGCAUGGCCUAUUUAUCCAGCUGUUCAAGAGCAGUGUGAUGUAGAUGCAUGUAGCUGCAGAUCAGAUCAGAACAAAUUUUUCUGAGCAGUGUGAUAUAGAUGCAUCAUGUAGCUGCAGUGGAAAGCAAUUUUUCACCAAUUUACAGUACAAAGUUCUCCUUUUCUUAAAAAGGAGGAGAAAAAAAACUACUUUUCCUACCUUUUUUUGGUAGUUAAAAAUGGCUGUGCAUUAAGGGAAGGGAAAAAAGAAAAAAGAAACUCUUUAAAUCAAUCUCAACUUGCUUUGAUGGGCCCGGUCUAUCAAGUGUAGCACGUGUUUGUGGUUAGUUAAGCCCAUUACUAAUUAUAUAAGGGCCUUCAACAAAGCCCAUGUAAGUGUUGAAACCAUUUGUCUUAUUACAAGCCCAUUUAAAUGGUUCUGUACUAUUUGCAAAGGGUUAAUUGCAUACAGCUCCAUGUAAACAUAUCAAAUAGCAAAUAUAUUUCUAUAAAGUUCAACUUUUCAUUUUUAUUCCUACAAAAGUCCAGUAAUAUUCAUAUUUGCCUCUUUAGUUUGUUACCAUUAGAGCACUCUUUAUUUUUUAACAGUAGAUUUUUUUUUUUGAGAGAUAGAUAGCAUGCUAUUCCCUUCGUUUAUUUUAUUAAGAAAUAAACUUAGCUGGAAAUGUGAAUCAAUUAGGAUUCGAACUUGGAACCUCGGGUAUCAACUACCAAGCCCUUUGCCACUUGCUCUAGGGACGAUUUUUUAACAGCAGAUAAUUGAAAUAAUAUUUUUGCGCUUAUAAAUAUAUCCCUCCAAAAAUCCCAACCGUUAAAAUUAUGGAAAAAUUUCCUUCUAAAAAAUUAUUUUACUCAAUAAUAUAAGAUGGGUAAAAACAUCAAUUUAACUCAUUCACUAACCAGAAUUAAGUAUUUUACUUAUUGUUAACUAUAUUUUUCUAACAAAUCUUAACAAUGGGGGUAUAUUUGAAAAUAUUAUGACUUUUGUAGUAAUAAAAAUAAAAAAUUAAAUUUGUAGGGAUAAAUUUGAUAUUCGAUAUGUUUACAAGGAGCUGUAUGCAAAUAACCCAUUUGUAAAUUAUACAGAGCAUGAGCACAAAUGGACAUAUAUAUAAGCUUAACAUUUCAGAUACUAUACAUAUGUUUAUCCCAGUCCAAGGCAUAACGGAACAAGAUGUAUAGUACAUCCAGAUACAUAUGCUAUUGGUGGGAACAAAUGUGGCACAAAGAGUUCAAAUUAAGUUUUGAUCAUCAACAGAUGCAAAAGUGAUGGUAAUGAUAACAUCAUCUUUUUUUUUUCAGUACACAAAGUUAGUGGUGGAAACCCACUGCCACCCUGUGAAAGGCAAAGGAACCACACAAGGGGACCCUUCUUAACUCACUUUAUUUCCCACAAGAAUUGUACCAUACAACUCACACAAAGAGAAGCAACAGUCAUUAUUAGACUAGAAUUAAGAAACUAAUAAGGAUCUGGCCCUAUCAUACACCUAGCUAUGUCUUUAACACCAAGAAACCUCCUAAGAUUUAAACUAAUGCAUAACUAAUGCAUAACCAUGCAUGCUCCCCCCCCUCGGGAUCACUGCGCGCGCCGAAAGCUAAUCCCUGCUUACGAGCUGUUCCCACCAGUUGAUCAAACUGGUCCAAUUACACCGUGAUAGGGCCCCGCGAAUACCACUUUUUUCGAGCAAAUGACCGACAAAUGCUAAUGUCGGCAUUAACAGCUACUUAUUUUCAGGAAAACACUAUCUAAUUGCUGAAACUUAGCACAUUGAAAUGAUCUAAAUCUGAUAUAAGUACCAAGUCUUGGCUUUGCCAGAGUCUUCUGAUGUCUGCUGAUCAGUCUAUCUAGCUAUCUUUACAGUGUGUAUGAUCAUCAUGGUAUAGUGUGUUCAUUGUCCCUUUCCAUGUCAUUUUAAUGCCGAGCUUCGUAAACCUAUGUCGACGCUGAAUUAGAUCGUCGUCGCUGACCGAACAUCUUUCUUAACAUUUCAGAGAUUGAGUUGAUAGGUGCCAUGGGCAAUGAGAUGGGGAACAGCAAUGUUACUGGUGUUGAAGGUUUGCUUACAUAGGAUUCUAUGUUUCUCAGCAUCAAAGUUUGCAUGUUUAGGUGCUUAGUUUUAUUUGUCUCAUUGUUCAGCAUCAGAACUAGACAAUGUUGAGGCUGCCAAAGCAAUCAUGUCUUUGGAUUCUUUAAAAGGUAUGAGUGAGGUGUUUUGGUUUAAUUUGGAAGUAUUUAGCUUUCUGAUCAUUUUGUCAUUCUUAAUCCCUCCUUCAGCUACUGAGAAAUAUGAUGCCGAGGAUGUAGCCACAAAUGAACCGUUGAAAGAUGCGAUUGUGUCGAACGUAGCGGAGGCAACCAACAUGGUGAAUCAAGAAAAUGUAGAAGAAAAGCAUAUGGAGUCCAUUGAAGAUGAUCCAAAGCAAACAGAAGAGCAGAAUCAGCAAGAAUCAUCUGAAGAUUCAGGUCGGUCACUUAUUGUGUUUCAAUGAUUAAUCAGAUUACAGCAUUUAUGUUUAGUUUGGAAGUAAUCAGCCUUUUGGGCAUUUAUCUUUCUUUAUCUGUUAUGUAGCUCCUGAGCAAGAUGCUGAGGAUUUAGCCACAAAUGAAUCUUUGCUAGAUUCAAUCAUUUCAGAUGACACCGAUGCGGCCAACGUAGUGAAUGAAGCAAAUCUACAAAAAGAAUCCGAUCAAGCUCAUUCGUUCGUGGCAGAAGAUGAACCGAAUCAGCAAAAUUCAUCUGAAGAAAAAGGUUAGUUACCUUCUCUGAUUCUAACAUCUUUGACCUUUUAAGCAUAAUGAACUGGUUAAGCAAAUAUUUUUUUCUGCUAGAUGGGCAAAAGGUACAAGCAUGCUGUAGCCUACAAGUUUACUUUCAACUGCUUAUUAUGUAUCGUAUUGAGCAGAUGCUAUUUGAGUAGGUAUUCCCAAGGACCAAGUUUCAAAAUUCAGAACCUUCAAAACGUAAAUGACGGAAUAAAUAGGAUGUUCUUGCUUUAAAAACUGCAAUUUUAAAGCACUAGUUUGCUGUACCAAAAUACUAUCACAAUGGUAACUCUUAAAGUAUAAAUACAGCCUAAUGCUAGACAUUAGAUUGAUGUGUAAUACUCGACAUCUACAUACAUCUAUGCGUGCUUCAAUAUAAGAUGUUCGAUCUUAACAGAGGAAGAGAUGAAGAGCAAUUCGGCACUGGACGCUCUAUCUAGAAAAGAAGAAACGCAACCGAUCCUAUUCGUAGAUCUAGAGAACAACGAAAGAGCGGAAAAUCCCAGAAUCACUUCUGCAGAAUCCUAUAAUGCAGAUCUCAAAGAAAAGACGUUUAGCGAUGAAAAUAGUCCAGAAUCGACCAAAAAGAUUGAUCAAAUUGGAGAUGUGAUGAGCGAGGAAAUUGAUGAAAGCAGUACUGCUAAUUCCACAUCAUUAAAAGGAAAUAAUAUAAUCGAUUCACUAGAUGGAGAGAACGGAUCCUGCAGAGAGGAAAUUUUGGUGGAUAGCAAUGUGAUUGAUAGAAAUGAAAUAAGAAUUGAAGAAGUAGAACUCCAAGAAGAAGACAAAGUAGAAAGUAAACACAUAGUGUUUCACCCAGGAAGUACUUCGUCGGCUGAAUCAAUCAACACAGUUUUUCUCGAUGCGGUCGAUUAUGAUCUUAAAGCCCUGCUUAUAGAAGAAGAAAUCAAAGAGAUUGACCAAUCACCUCCAAAAAUAGACCUGGAUGUUAAUGGAAAGAAUCUUUUUCCUAAAGUAGAAUCAGCACAAACAAAGAUCGAUGGCGGUAUGGUUGAUAAUAACAAUACCCAAUUUAGUACAAUAAGUCCUGGCCAAGAAGAGAAGCUUGAUAAGGCAAAUGGUAGGUCUGAAUACUCAAUCCGCGGGCAGCUAAUGCAAGAAAAAGAUAUUAAUGGGAUCGACAGCUGCGACAGUGCGACUGUGAUUGAGAGUCAGCAUGUAAAAGAAGAAGAUCAGCAAGUAGAAGGAGAGGCAUACAACCGAAGCAUGGUCGAUGAACAGAAACUGGAGAACAAAAUUGAGGAAUUAAAUGACGAAGACAAACAUGUAGAGGAUAAACUAUCCUCAUCUAUUUCAGAUGCUCUUGUAGUUUCAAGUGAAGACGGUAUGAAGGGAAAAGAAGAUUUAGAUGCAGAAGACGUGAUUAAUACAACCGCUAUCUCAAAUGAUGCAGCUGAUUUACUAGAGGAACAAAACGAAUCUACUAGAGACUUGAUAUCAACAUUAUUAGAACCUGAACGAAGUUUGGAUGAGAGCAUGACCAAGGAAACAAAAGACCCAAAUGCAGGUGGAAGUGCUGCAGAGGAAAGAAGCGAAGACCCCGACGAAGUUUUUGGUGGUCAAAUCAAAGUUCUUGAUACAAGCAUGUCGAAAGAGGAGCAUGUACAUGAUUUGAAUUUAGUAGGAACCGUAAAUUCAGCUUCCUAUCAAUCAGAAUCAGAUGAUAAUGGUAAAAGCUCAAUUAUGUUGCAGCAGAAAUCUCCAAAUCACUCAAAAGAACUCGAAGAACAGCAUACUGAAGCUGAAUCCACCAUAGAGACAAGUGACAAGAGCAUCUGUGCCGGCGGAGAUAUAAAUAACUGCCUAAACAUCUCCUCAGAGCUCAGAGCUAUCAUCGACAAAAGCAAUAGCGAAGCAGACCAAGUUUUGGCUCAAGAAAAUGAAGUUUCAGGGUUUGAAAAUAUUGACGCAAAUCUGGAUUUUGCGAAGCAGCCACGGGAGUAUAAUUCGAUCAGCGAGGCUGCAGUCUGCAUAGUGAAGGCCGAAAGUUCUACGUCAGAGACUAUAGAGAGUCUCUUCUGUCUUGAAAAAUCAAGUGUAGAAAUCGUAAAUUCAGAAUCAAAUUCACCGCAAAAAGAUUGCGAGAAAAUUCUGCUGCUCGAUCCACUUGAAAGCGCAAAUUGUCUCAUUGAUGUCUCUGAAAACCAAGAAAUCCCUGCAAGCACUGCCAAUAUCUUUGAAGUCAAGUGCGAAGAACCUGACAAGACUCUGCCAAAUCAUGAGAAAACUGCUCAAGAUGAUACUUUUGGUUUCCUAACAAGCAUUCCUGACACUAAAGAGAGCACAAUAUACGACGUCAACACUACCUCGAUACUCGAAUCCAGCAAGGAAGAAUCCGAUAAGAGCCCACUGCUAAGUCGGAAGAAUUCGAAAGAGCGUGAACUUCCUUCACUAGAAAGAAACGACUCGAGAAAACUGAAGAUACCACUGCUCAGCCUAAUGAAGGAGGAUGUUUUCACCGCAGAAUCAUCAGAUGAAAAAGCAGGCCUUAUUCCGAAGAACAAUGAUGCAGAAAUGUGCCUCUCCACUCCGAAGGAAAUAGCAUCUACAUCUCCUAAACGGAGAGGUAAGCAGAAACCGCGCUCUUCUCUUUUCGGCAGUUGCAUGUGUUGCACCACAACCGCUAACUAAGCGUUGCGUACGUGUGUUCCCUAGCUUCUUUGUUUUCAUUCUUUUUUACAUUUGAUUAUAUAGUUCUUGAGUUUAUCUGAGUUGAUAUUGGGGAGAAUUAUUUGAGAUGUGGCUUGUUUGGACUGUAUAAGUGAGUGAUAUCAGAAACACGGAGAGAUCAUGUAGCAGUUAUAUAUUUGCUUGCGAAUUUUGUAUCUUGUUUCAUUCUUCUAAAGCAAAUUUACAGUUUGAACAUUGUUUUCAUCAGAGUGUAAGGAUUGCACUGUUUCAACUUUCAACAUAGUUUCUAGAAAAAUAAGAAAUUCAACAUGACAAUAUUGUAAUCUUACUGAUUAGUGAUAUAUGUAUUUGUGAUAAACUAUUAAUUGAAAUCUGCAGCCCAGACCACGAUUUUGAUCAUCUUCAAACAAGAUUUCUCUCCAGCUGAUGUUAUUUUCCUGGUCGAAUUAGUCGAUCAACCGGGUCAAGUCACAUUUUGCGACCAUUCAUUAUUGUUACUUUCGCACUCGACCGUGUGAUGUAUACUUCCAAGACCCCUUGACCCCAACCAAAGCUCCUGUGUUCUCACUGCAGUAAUCUCAGUACAGUACAUAGAAUUAAACAUGACCAAGUUGAAUUGAUCAAAUGUGGAAUGUUUUGCAAUUACUCUUUUUAAGGCCAAUUCAAAGCAAUAAGUGGUCCAACCGCCCUCUUGACUCCUUUCUCUUUCUUAGUCUGUCUCUCUUUUCUUCCUGGUCACUAUAAUCACUAUUCUAACCUGCAAGAAAGACUUUAAAUAAAAACUCGCAAAAAUAGAUGUCGAACAAAUCCACAUAUCGGACUGACGUUGCUUGUUUAAUUCAAAAUAUGAGAGUAAAAAUUUGCGGGAAAAAAAAGGUUACAGAGAUUAUCCAAAUCCAGAUAAUAAUAAUGCGUGCGAAUCGAGAUAACUCAAAUUUAGCUACCGGUUUCCCUUGUCUUUAAAGUAAAAACUUUUUCUUUAUCCAAUGUGGACAUACCACAAGAUAUCACUAUACCCAUGGACUAAAUUACUCUCCUCAUAAAUUGUAACAAUCAUGCAAUUAAAAUGUGGUUCCCCAAAUCGCAGGAUUCAAAGAUAUCCAAAAUGUUGGGAUUUUGAGCCAAUGUAGUAGACCUACUUGGCCUGGCAGUAAAUGGUUGGUCCAAAAUAGAAGAAUUUUCUAAGAUAGCGUUUGGUUCGGGAACAAACGGGGGGAAUAAGCCCUUGUUCUCCGCUUUGUUCCCAAACGUGAUGUUUGAUACCCAGCAACAGUAGUUCCAGGAUUUCAAGAAUAAGCUGGUAUAAGACUGGAACAGCUGUUCCAUCUUUUUUCUGGAACAAGCUUGUUCCUUGAUGAGAAUAAGGUCAAUUAAAAUCUAAAUUUAAUUUUAAUGACAGUAAAUUAUUAAUUAAUCUAAUUAAUAUAUUUAAAUUAUUUAUUUAUUGCUUUAAUAAUUAAAUAAUUAAAUAAUUUAUUAUUUAUAAUUAAUUAUUAAUAAUUAAUAAUAUUUAUUAUUAUUUAUUAAUAAUUAUUAAUAAUUAUUAUCCUUAAUAAUUAGAUAAGCGAUAUUAUUAUUAUUUAUUAUUUAUAAUCACUUAUUAAUAAUUAUUAUUAUUUAUUAAUAAAUAUUAAUAAUAAUUAUUAUUAUUAAUUAGAUAAUCGAUAUUAUUAUUAAUAAAAAUUAGAUAAUUGAUAUUAUUAUUAAUUUGUUAAUAAUAAUAAUAAUUAAUAAUUAUUAUUUUUUUAUUAAUAAUUAUCAAUUAUUAUUAUUAUUAAUAAUUAGAUAUUCAAUAUUAUUAAUUUAUUAUUUAUAAUUAUUUAUUAAUAAUUAUUAAUACUUAUUAUUAUUUAUAAUUAUUUAUUAAUAAUUAAUUUAUUAUUUUAUUUUUAAUUAAUAUUUUGAUGUUAAUUAAUUAUAUAAUAUAAUUUAAUUUCAAAUUAUAACUUUUAUUUCUUUUGUUCCAAUCUAACCAUCCAAACACUAUUUACCUUAUUCUUAGGAACAAUCCAAUUUUCAUCCAAACGCAAAAUUGGUCUAGUUCCUGCUUAUAACUAAACUUGUAUCUAUUUCUAGAACUAGCAAUUCUUAUUUAUAUCCGAACCAAACGCCUAAGAGACAUAUUAUCAAACACAUGGUGUGCUACGAAAUUGGACAUAGAAAUAAAAGGCCAAUUCAACCUUGAAUGGAAUUAUCAUGACAAGUACAUGUACAAAUCAAAUCCGUACCGUUCCUUUUUUGUUUUAUUAAGAAGGAAAAGUACACGUACAUGUGCAGGAAUAAUUCUGACCGUUGAUCAUUCAUCGACGGCUAAUAAUUAAUAAAUGUUGUACGACGAACAUGUUUGAAUUUUGACCCUUCACUCGAAUUCCACGAAUUUGUGAGCGUCGGAUGAACUGUCCCCUUCACAUUCACGUGCUAAAGAGUAAAACUUUGAGACCCACACAUUUUUUUUUUUUCGUUCACAAAUUUUAAUUUAGUUGAUUAAGUAUUAUAAGUUUUAUAAUUUAAUUUAGUUGAUUAAAUAAUAAUGCGUCGUUACUUGCUAAUUUAAUAUUAAUGUUUUAGUAUUAUAAUCGCUAAUACAUUAUAUUAAAUACUAUCUAGUUAGUACUUAAUAAAGAUAAUCUAAAAAGUUUGAGCAAAAAAGUAUAAUUAAUUAAAAUUUAGGAAUUAAAUAUCAUGAGCAACAAAAUUUGAGGACCAAAAGUGCAAUUUACAAAAAAAAAAGAAAGGCUAAACUAAUAUAUCAUAAUAAAAUUAUUAAACAAUUUAAAUAUAUUGAUGUAUUUUUUUUAUCUGUUUCUCUCAAGUGGGGCGGAUUCAAGGCGAAGAUGAAAAUAUUAGCAAGUAGUUUAUUUGCAAUAGUUUGUAUGAUAAUUAAAUAAAUAAACAUUUCAUAUUAAUCAUAUAUAUCAAUCAUUAAAAUUACCAAAUCCGUGCAUAUUUCUUAGUCAUGUUCACGUAUACAUCAUAUAUAUACGUAUCAAUUAAGUGGUCAAAUAAGACAAAUUUUCCUUGGUUAUUUGAUCACUAAUAUUUUAACUUAUAAUAAUUAAAGGGGAAAAAGGACAAGAGGAAUAUUAUUUUUUUGUAUAACAGAAAUAUAUAUAUAUAUAUAUAUAUAUAUAUAUAUAUGAUUAUAAUUAUUUGUUUUGGAUACAAGAAAUAUAUAUCUCCAUCAAGUAGCUUUGGUACACUCGAAAUAAAAUUAAAAACUAAUUAAUUAUUGAUUAGAGAGCAUCAUCAUGCGCACGAAUUCCUCGAAGUUCACUUGCCCAUCACCGUCCAAAUCGGCUUCUUUGAUCAUUUGCUCCACCUCCUCAUCCGUCAAUUUCUCCCCGAGAUUUAUCAUCACAUGUCGUAGCUAAAAUAUGUUCCAAAAACACAAAAAUAUAGAACUUAGAAAAAUUAUUGAAAAAUCAAAGACAAUAAUAACAUGUUAAACUUUGAGUUAAUUAUAUGAAAACUACUGUACAAUUUUUUAAAAUUUUGAUUUCACUAUCUAAGCUUUCAAUCUGUUUAAUUAAUCUUAGCUAGUAAUUAAACGGAACAUACAUUAAUUUGUACAUCGCUUUUGCAUUUGAAAAGCGAUAAAAGUGCGUUGUACGGGUACCGUGGUACAUAAAUAUAUUAAUGCACUAUAUUCAUGUAAUCAUAUUAGGACACAAAUCAAAUAAUUGUUUUUAGAAUAAUCCAAACUUUAUGUUAUAAGUUUUGUAUGUACGUAUUUUUAGAAAAAAUGAAAGAAAAUUAAAGAAAAAGUUGGAUUAAAUAAAUUUUAAGUUAAGUUUAUUUACCUCACUAGCUGAGAUAUAACCAUUCUGAUCUUUGUCAAAGACCUUAAAAGCUUCUCUCAGUUCCUCCUCUGAAUCAUUCUCCUACAAUGAGAAAUUAAAAACCAUAGCGUAUUAAAUUAAAACACUAAUACUAAUUAGAAAAGUUAUAUAUACCAAGUCCAUUAAUUAUAUAACAUUGAUUAGAACAUAUUUUUCUCAAUUUAUACCUUCAUUUUUCUAGCCAUUAGGUUCAAGAACUCGCCGAACUCGAUCGUGCCGUUGCCGUCGCAGUCGAUGUCGCGAAUCAUCUCAUGCAACUCUUCUUUGCUUGGGUUCUGGCCCAGAGAUUUGAUCACUGUUUCAAGUUCUUCUGAAGUGAUGCACCCUGCAGUUUCCAAAACAAAAGAGACAAUAAUUAAUGGUUAAAACAAAUUAUAUUAUAUUACAUGUAGUAACUAAGCUUGCUUUACAUAGUGAUUGGUUAAAAAGGAGUUUAAUUACCAAGUAAUAAUAGUUGUAAUAUAUGGGGAUUUGUUGGAUUUCUAUUAAUUUUGGAGUUUAAUUGGAGAGUUCAUGUUAUUGAUUUUGGAACAACAUAUGUAUAAAAGAAACAAUAAAGAGAAAAACAAGAAAGAUAUAAUUAAUUAAUAAAAAAGUAGUAACAAGUGAACAACAUGCACAACUACCAAAAGAGGAGUCAGGAAAGCAUUUGUUUUUAUAUAUAUGAACAAACGUGACAAAAAAAAAAAAAAAAAAAAAAACCAAUAACAGCAAAUUGAGAAACCAUUUCUCUUAUAUAUAUAUAUAUAUAUAUAUAAUAUAUAUAUAUAUAUAUAAUAUUAUAUAUAUAUAUAUAUAUAUAUAUAUAUAUAUAUAUUAUAUUAUAGUUACUAUGAUAUAUUGUGGUGGUGUGUAACAUUCGAUAUUAAAAGCUGCAAAAUACACUAAAAAAAAGGAAAAAGGAAUUUUAAAAAAGUGUGGUUUUGAAGAGCUAUAUUACCAUCUCCAUCUUUGUCAAAGAGAGAGAAAGCAUCUUGGAACUCAGAGAUCUCCUCCUCAUUCAAUUUAUCCAUUAAUACUAGCUACAAGCCAAUUAGAGAGAGAGAGAGAGAGAGAGAGAGAGAGAGAGGUUUAAUGAGAUGGGAUCAAGAGAACCUAAUACAAGCUAUAUAUGGUUUUCGUAGGUUGUUUAUAUAUAUUUAUAUAUAUAUAUAGUGAGAGGAGGAGGGUAUAUAUAUAUAGGAUUUUGUAUGAAUGGGAUUUGACUUUUCUGAAUUUUUCUAGUCAAAUAAGCCUUUCAAAAGAUAAUAACCCAACAACUGAGAAAAGGAUUACAAUUUCUUCUAUGUGUAAAUAGUUUUUUUCCUACUAAUUCUUCACUUGGGUCUUAUCGAAAUAUUUCUCUUUAUUUUAUUUGACCUUGUCUCUACUUGUCCCUGUAAUGGGGAGAGAAGAGAACUUUUGUUUGCAUGGACCAUGUUCUAUAGACCAAGUCCUCCAAAUUUUUGCACUUUACAUUUCAUUUUUCUAUCAUGCAUGCCUUUUUAGGAGAGAAAAAAAAAAAGAAAAAAAAAAGAAACCCUAAACACAAGAGGCAAGGUUCUACACUGUCAAUUCCCAUUGAGAAAUAUAGCAGGUGUUUGGCUUAACUUUUGAAAAGUGAUUUUGGGCUAAAAAGUAAUUUUCGGCUCAGUAGAGCAUUCGACAACCUUAUUUUUAAAAUUUGAUUCUGAUUUUUAAAAUUAAUUUUAUGAUUUUGAAGGCCUAAAAUCAGAAGCAGUUCACACCUACUUUUUUAAAUCUGAUUUUGAUUUUGGACUCAAAUUUUAAAUUUUUUACUUUAAUUUUAGAUUCAAAUUCUAAAUGUAAAUUCAAGUUUUAAUUUUUAUUUUUUAAUUUUUAAUUUACAUUUGAAUUUCUAAAUUUCAAAUUUUAACUUUUAAAUUAAAUUUCAAAUUUCAAAUUUAGAUUUUAAAUUUAAAACUAAAAAUUUAUAUUUAUAUUUAAAAAUUCAAAAUUUCAAAUUUAAAUUUUUAAAUUUCAUAUUUUAAAUUAAAAUAUCAAAUUUUAUUUUUUUUGCUCAAAUCUUAAAAUUUAAAAUUUAAAAUUUAAAAUUUAAAGUUAAAAUUUAAAAAUUUAAAUUAUCUUAAAAUAAAAUUCAGUAAAGAAGUUAUUAUAUAUAUGCAACAUCAAAAAAUUUUGCCAAAUAGAUUUACAAAAUCACUUCAGAAUUAAAAAUCGCUUUCCAUCUAAAUUCAGCUAAAAGCUCUACAGUUUUUAAUUAAAAUCAGUUAUUCAGAAAUCACUUUUUCAGAAUUUAAGCCAAACGGAGGACCCAUAGUCUACAAUACUUGAAAGUUCUAUAUACUAAAACUAUAGUUUGCUAUAAUCUUUCUCUCAUCUAACUGAUAAAAAAAUUUUAGCGAUUCUCCUAUACACCACUUUAAUCCUCUCCAUUAAUUUACCAGAGUGAACGGCUAUGAUUCAUUAAAAAAUCCACUUCAUGCUGUAUUUGUGAAGGCAAUUUUCGACUUUUGCCAUUUAUGAGAUCUAAUUUAAUAAAAUUAAUAAUUUUUUUUAUCAAAUUUAAUAAUUUUAUGAAAAGUGAAUUAGAAUAAUUGACAAUCAAUGGAGUUAUUAAAUUUAAUAAAAUUUUAACUAAUAUAACAAGAAUAAUUCAGUUCUAAAAAAUCAAACUAAUAUUAGAGCUAAUAGAGCCAUCAAGAUUCAAAUUAGAUCCAAAUUUAAAAUUUAAAUUUGAUUAAUAUUUUUGAACUUUUAUGCUGUUUCAAUAUUGAAUUAAUAAUUCAAAUUUUAUUUUCAAAAAUAGAAAUUUUUAUUUGAAUCAAAAAUAAAAGUUGGGUUUAUAAGUACAGUGUAAAUUAAACUCAAAUUUAAAAUAGAUUAAAAUUUUUGAACUUUUAUUUUACCUUAAUAUUGAAUUAACAAUUUAAAUUUGAAAUUUGUUAUUCAUUUAAAAUUUAAUUUAUACUAUAAUAAAUAUAAAGUUUAAAAACUCAAGUUAAGUUUUAAUUUCGGGUGUUAGUUACUUACAAAAUUAGCUAUUUUCUAAUUUGGUAAGUAACAAAAUUAAAUAAGGAGACGAAGAAUUGAAAACUAUUAAUUUGGUAUUUAGUAACCAUGUAUUUUCCAACAUUGUCCUUAUAAUUGAUUUUAUUGGUAACCAGUUGAGUAGGUAACUAAUGUUGAAAAAGUCAAUCAUAUCUUUGAAAAAUAAAUGGUUAGAUUUAAAUGAGCCGGUGUACGUAUUGAAGCAUUCCUAAAAGAAUUUUCAAAUACCAUUAUCUUUUUAUUGUUUGGUAUUUGGAUGUGCAAUAGAUCUGUAAAAGUUAUGGUUUUUUUUAGUAAACUAUCUAGAAAUAUUAGAUCAUAAAUAAGUUUUAUCUCUAAAUUUUAAGAUUUUUAUAUUUGAAUUUUGAAGAGCCCAAUUUAUGGAGACAAUAGUUUCUGCAAGAAAGAGAGUGGAGAGAGUUUUUCUCCAUUCAACAUGGUGGGUUAUGGGACCUUGACCUCAUAUGUCACUAUUUCUUUUUCCAUUCAUUUUCCAAUUUUGUCUCAUUUGAUAAUGUAUUAUGGCGUUUAUUUUAUGUAGUUGUCCUUCGCACUCCAACUUGUUAACAGCUGUACGCACGUAUUUUUAACAUUUAUAUUCAAUAUUUUUUUUUUACAUGUAUAAAAUAUAAUUCAAAUUAAAUAGAAAAAAAUUAAAACGAGCUAAAAGUUACAGGAUUCGAACUCAAAGCCGUACCUCUAAUUAAAUACAUAAAAGACAUGUAAAAUUAAUAAUAAACGACAUAAAAAAUAGAGAUUGUACUAGAUGAAGCGUGAGACAGGAUCUUGUACUAGAAAUAGAUUCAUGAAUAUAUAAAAGCCACACGAAAUUAAUAGAUGAGAUAAGAUAUAACGAUUUAACCUAUUAAAUAUAAUGCAAGAAUUUAACCAGUUAAAUGUUAAAGGUGAUGAUCGAAACCACAAUUUCCAAAACGAGUAGAUCUAUAAUGGGUUGACAACAUAUUGAAAUAAAGAUAAACAUUGUUCUUCUAAAAUUUAAAUCAAUCAAAAAAAAAAAUCAUGUUUUUAAUAUUUAUGUGUUUGAAUUUACCCCUUUACUCAUCAUUUCUCAAAAAAAAGAAAAAAGAAAAAAAAAACUACUUACGUACAUUGUGCUAUUCCAAGAAGCUUAAAGCCCUAAAAACCACUCAUAAAAUAAACAUUAAUACAUAUUUGGUAGGAAGUUGGACUAAUAUGUACAUAGAAAAUUAGGUGGCUAUUUUUAAAAUAUUCUUUUGAUUCUUUUGAUUUACUUAUUUCACUUUAGAUAAACAUAUAAUGUAAUAACUCGUAGGUGCCUUUUGGAAUGAAAAGAUACGGUGGAAAAGCAAUCUUUCAAAAGCACAUUAAGUUCUAAUAUUCUUAUAGUUAAAGUGCUCAAAUAGAAUAAAGUGAGACUAAAAAAGCUAAAACUAGAAGGGUGUAAUGACCAAUGAGGCUGCGAUUAAGAUGAUUUUAAGCCUAUUUACUUCAUGCUUUAUUUCAAUUAAAGUUAUGAUCAAUCGUACCCAGCACAAUUGGCUAAAAAAUUAAUAAUUAGUAUUUAAAAUUUUAAGUUAAAAAUUUACUAGUUUUUUUAUAUUUCUAACUGAAUUCGUAUACGAGAAAAAUGAACAAUGCAGAUAAUUUGUUAUCUUUUUCUUGCGAAAAAAAACUGUGCUAAUAAUUUAAGAGCGAUGGUAGUAACCAAGUAUUAUUUUGCAACAGCCUCUUUCUCGGGGAUCGAUCAGGGAAUAUAUGCCAUUUGAAAAGAAAAAUAUACUGAGAAAAUAUAAAGAAGCUAAGACCAAGUUUAGAUCAAGAAAAAUUAGAAAACAAAACAAAGUGUGAAAGUUAGUAUAUUUUUCCCACAUUUUUUGGAGUAUUUUUUACUAGUAUAUAUAAUAAUAUUUGUGAAAGUACACUAAAGGCCGGAUUAUCGAAAUAUAUAUAAUAGUUAAUCAGUGAAAAAAUGGAAAAAUAAAUUGUAACGUCCCUCACAAGUUGAAGGAUCAUAUACAUACGUAAUUAGGUCGAUACUACGUACGUACAGAUAUGUCACCUUGGUCAUGUAAACUUUUCCUACAAGAGUUGGACCGAGUCGGAAACGAGUGAGAGUCGCUUCAAAAAAAAUCCCGAGCCCAAACAAAACGGGUCCACCCGAUUGACCAACUAAAGCUUUGAUCCGGCACAUGACCCGGUCUCGUGUGAAUUGAUUUGCACCACGCGUACGUUCGUCCCUGAACUUCCGACACGUUUCCACAAAAACCCGAACCCAUGCAAAUCGGGUCAACCCGACUGACCAACUAAGGCUUUGAUCCGACACAUGACACGGUCUAGCGUGAAUUGAUUGCACCAUCCAAUGUUAAUAUUCCUGGCUCGAUGUUUCAACUUCGAUGUUAAAAACCCUAAACUUAUUUAUCAUCUUAAUAUAGCUUCAUUUUAGAUGAAACAAGUAACACAUGAGGUGCAAAGGAGUCUAUAUAUAUAUAUAUAUAUAUAUAUAUAUAUAUAUAUAUAUAUAUAUUAACCGCACAUCCCGUCUCUCAAAAUGAAGUAUUUAAUUGACUGAAUAUAAUUGACGUGGUGUGGCUGCUACACAGAAAAUUUUUUGUAAUCUCUACUCCGUACUGAGGUGGCUGUUGCCGCUUUUAUAAAGGAUCUCCGGAGAUUUUGAGUAUUAAAAUGCGACACAUAUAGUGUUUGACUUUACAAAGUUAAGGCGACACCUAUGGUUGGACAAUAUAAAAAAAUAUAUUUUAUUAUUAUUAUUUUUUUAAAAAGAAGGUAUUUAACUUGCUAGAUAUAGCAGGCGUGGUGUGACAUCUACACAGAAGAUAUUCUCGCAGUUUUCACUCCUUACAAAAGCAACUCAGCUGCGGCUUUUAUAAAAGACUCCGGAGAUUUUGGAGCAUUAAAUCAAUACGACAUCUAUAAUAAUAUGGUAUUAUAAAAAUAUUUUUUUAUCGUACUUUUUUUUCAAAAAAAUAAUAUUUGAUUGACGAAGUAUAGUUGGGGAUGAGAUUGCUACACAGAAGACUGCGAUUUUUUGUAAAAUUAAGACCCCCCGAAAUUUUGGGGCAUUACCUUAAAAGAACGACACCUGUGGCGUUUUAAUUUUUCAGGUCAACGCGCAGUGGCACGUGCGGAGCGAGCUAGACUUAAACGGUGGGUGGGGAUUAAUUUUGUUUGGUAAUUUUCGUCUUGUUUAAUUAAAUGCAGGAAUGAGACCGACUCCGCACGUGCGACGCGGUUUCCUGAUUCAAAUGGGUCACGCGCAAAAUGCGCGAUUGACUUGCAGGCCACGUGUGAUGGCUAGUAAAAUUUUGAGAGAUGUAGAUCCAUCACUCGUGCUCAUCUCACACUCCUAAUAUAUGUAUAUAAUAAUAUAUUUUCUUUUCUUAUUAGUUGGUACUUACUCGUAGAUACCCUAGCUCUUGUUCGGCGUGAGCAAUUGAGCAUGCGUAAUAUAAAACUAUUAUUACUACUUGGUAUAUGUAAUGUUAAGUGCUACAUAAAUUUAACAAAUAGAUAUUAGCGCACAUUUAGUAGAAUCUUAUAAGAGAGAAAAAUUACGAAGGACAAAAGAAUUCAUCAGGAGGAGGAAGUACAUCCGAACCUCCCACUGCUGAUGAGUAGAGUUUUCUUGCACUAAGAUUUAAAACAAUACAGCAGAUCCGCCGUACACACAGAAUUUUAUUACGUCCGGUCCGAAACUACAGUUUUGUGCAUCAGAAGCGGCGGAGGGAGAAAUGCACGCGCAGAUGUGGAGCAGAGGUUGUUGAGGUUUUGAGAAGGUUAGUACGCAUAGUUCUCUUGCAUUGGGGAUGAAGAGAAUAGUACGAGCUCCAGACUCUGAUCUACGUUAUAGCCCAGGGAAAGAAGUGGGAACCAUGUCAUAUGGAAAAAAAAAAAAAUCUACAUUGUAAUACUUAUACCGUAUUAUCUAUUCCUAACCAAUUGCAUCUAUUUUUUUCGCCGAAAAAUAUAACAAAAAUAAUUUUUAAGAAAAUUUGAUUGCUAAUGCAUGCUAGACUUUUCGUCGUAUGGGCCCCAGCUCCCUUGCACACGUGGUAGCAAUAAAUGAUGUGUCGAUAAAAUGGAGCAACACGCAGCCAGAUAACAAAUACGAUGGUCCAAUAAGCCCACUAGAUCACGAUCAGUUUUAAGCUUAGCUUAACAAUUUAAAUAUUUACAUGAAUCCGGCCCAACAAUAAGGCUGCGCCCAACAAUAAGGCUCAGCCCAACAACCCAAUUCGAGGAGACCUUCUCAACUCGGCCCCAAUCUCCCUCCAAUAAGGUAAAAGGAAAAAAUAAAAAAUAAAAAAUAAAAAAGGAAGAUUAAGGUGACGCCCUACCACAGCAUGAUUGAUUUUGGACCUUUGGAUGAGAAAAUUUGACUGUUUAUCGCUUCAAUAGCAUGUUAAGAACUGAAACUUUGUGUUGUGACAUACGCGAACCAGAAGAUGCUUGGGGUUCCCAAUAAGAUUGAUUUUAUAUUAUUGUUGAUGCAUCAAACAUCUAUAAUGCUGGGGGAUUUUAAUUGACUCACGCACACUCUCAAAUACCCAAAAAGCUUGCCAACAUAUGAACAACAUACGAUGACGACAUUAUAGGGGACCAAAGCAAUACUCUUUUAACUAAUCACCUCACAAGCCUUAAUUUGAUGACGGAUACCUUUUCUUUUCAAUCUCCUUGGACCAGAUCGAGCAGAAGCAAGAAAAGCACUGCAGCAUCCAAACUCACAGGGAACGAAGUCACAUACAGCAGCAUUCAAGAAUUGUUUACAAACAAAUGUCAUUGUGGAGACAAUUGCUACUAGAAAUGUUUUUUUUUUUUUUCAAGGCCGUACGACAUUUAAUAUCAGCCUAAUUUGAGGGGAUCUAAGAACAGAGCGGCUUAUGUACCUAGAACAGACAAAGAAGUCCAUGCAUCGCAUGCAACUAAUGCUUAGUUUGGUAAUAUGGUGACUAAAAGCAUUUGAAAGGCUUUAAACAACCCAAAAACACUUACAAUCUUUCUUCAUCCAGUGCUAUAAAAUUGCAGUGUCAAACGUCACCGGAGAAGUAUCCGCCACUGGUGAAGCAUAUAAACUACGUGCUUUUCUAGAGACCAUCACACUAUAAUUUAAAGCAUAAAAGAAGAAAAGAUUGAAAAUACAUUUAGAUUUUUUGCCGUGCUUUUAGCCACAGGAUUACCAAGCUAGGCCUAGGUUCAAACUAAGAAAUCAAAUGCACCAGAGAAAUUGGCCUAACCUUUGAGACUCUAGAAAUGAAUCUGCCUGCAUUGCGACACUGCAGCCUCCGCGGGACAAUAGGGGCACUUGAACAUCCGAGUCCCACUCUUCGACAACUUCACAAUUGACUGCUUUGAAAGCACAUGCCCACACGGGAUAAGCAUUGGCGGGUUCUCAUCACUUCCCUGUUCUCGGAGCACAGGGCACACAAACACCGAGUGGAACUGAAACUCCCUGCGCAGUUCCACCGGCACCGGCAGCUGCUUCAAGUUAUCCCACUCGUGCUUCUUAGAAGCCAUAACCAUCGCCAUCUUCAGCAGUGUUGGAAGUGCUUGCACCCCUGCAUCUAUCACCACGCUAAGUGGGUUCUCACAUGACUGCCCUAAACGGCUGCAGAACUGGAGCGUGAACUCCUUGCUCAGAUUGUCCCAAUGUGCGGUCGAGAUUAAGUUGGAGUACGGGGACUGAUCCAGCCGUCCAGCCCACAAGAGACAGGCCAUCAGCUUCUGGAUCUCAAUCUUGUGAACAGAAGCGAAACGAGCCAAGUAUCUGCGUGCAUAUUUCAGAGCCGCAUCUCUGCUUCCUUCCCUUUUCAGUAUCUCGAUGAACUGCAGCCGGUGAAGCUUCAGUUCCAGGAUAGAGCCAUCCUGGGAAAGCUGCUCACUGUUCUUGGUGGCCCAAUUUAUAGCAGAUUCAAGGCUUUUACUGCUUUUCAUUGCGUCAAGUAUAGAGUACAUCUCUUGGAACUGGGAUUUCAAAGAUGCAGCCUGGGACUCAUUUGAUUCGUUAACGAAGCAGUCACCAAGAUCGAAGAGGCCCUGGCGGUAGAAAUGAGCAGCGAUGAUUUCAUUUAUUAUGUGGGUGUCAAAGUCAACAUUUCUGUAUGCCUUGGAUAUAUCUGGAUUGAAGGUUUUCUCAAGGAGCUUUAUGUACUUCACGAGAAGUACAUUGAUUUCCUUAUAGUAGGCUUCUAAUUGGUUCACUGGGGCCAUUUCUUUUAGCUUAUUGUUAAGCUCUGUGAGAACAAUAGCAUGGUCAGAACAGCCUGCGUCACCCUGUAUCUUCAGAAUUGCCUGCUCAAUUUCCUUCCCAACUUGGUCGACAAGAUCUUGCGUUUUGGAGGCCGUGAGCUUCUGCUUCUUGGCAACUCGGUCAAAUGCAUCUUUCACUGAGUCGAGAUCCAUGUUACCAGGAUCUUCUUUACAAGCCUGUUUUACAAAAGAUAAUUAGUACGGUCAUCAAUUGUCAUUAUACUGGCCCUUCUUCUGUUGACAAGUAUACAAUGGCUAAAAAAUUUCAGGUUUGGAUAGAAAACUCAUAGCCAUGAAGGAAAUAUGAUUGUCAAUAAUCUCAAAUGAAACAAAAUUUUCUCAAUAUCGAUAGCUAAAAAAGAUCAAGAAAAUUAAAAAUGAUCCUUAAAUAUAGAAUGUUAAUUAGAUAAAGAUGCAUCAAGAUAUUUCUUCCAAUAUCCCGGGAAGUAAUUCAUGCUGUGAGUUUUUCACAAAACUGAUACUAAGGAAAAUUAUCACAAGUAAAUGUAAGACAAAUCCAUCUUAUAUUAGUCACGGAAGGCCUUGAUUAAAGAGCAAAAACAAAAUGAAGAAAAUUUCAAAGAUAUAUAUAAGCAGCAGGAAAAAGAAAAAGGAAAGAAUAGAAAACACUAACAAGAGGCGUGCUACGGAAGAUAUUUAUGGAAGACGACCCUUUUUGAGGAUGGAGAGCGAGUAACGGGCGGCAUCUAUGAGAUCGGCAAUGUUGUGUAAGGAUCGCUCCUCAGACCCGAACAAGAAGAUUGUUCGAACCUCAGCUUUCUUAGCAAGGCGAGCAGCAUGUGUUAAGGGAAGAUCGGGAGAAUUAAGGCUUCUUAAUAUUUGACGGUACAAUGACAACACUGUGGCUCGAUUCUUUGCCAAAUCCUCAGCAGUUGCCCAUAUUAAUCCCUUUGCCAUUGCAAAACGAGACGAAUGAAGGAUACAUUUAAUGGAUGAACAAAGAAACCUGACGAUAGAGGACAUAAUUUUAGACUUAUAUUCAUGAUAAUUCAAACGGAAAAGGAAAAGAAAAAAUCUAAGCCAGCAUGUACUUUAGAAGAUGUUAUCAGGCAAUUAUAUGACAUCAAUGAGAUACAGAUAUAAUGAGGCAAUGUUGAUCAGGAGUGUAGAUGAUGCUUCAGAAGGAUAGACAUAGGUCAAACACGUCUUGAGUGAAUGCUUGUGAUGACCUAGAGCCCUGAGCAUAGGUUGGGCCAGAGAGUAUCGGAUGGGUUAAUUUUCCCUGCUCGGGAUUUGAACUUCUACCUUAUACCCGAGUCUGGUCCAAAAUGGCCAGGCCAGUCUGGAUCAAUUAAACAAAUGGCCGAUCCAGGCCAGGGUAGAGAUUUUCUUGGGCCUUUAUUUUGUAGGCUGGACAUGACCUGCAAAAUUCGGGCCGAGUUGCUGAGUCAGACAAGUCAAGCAAGUGCUGCAGGUCAGGUCAAAUCUCAGGUCUAGGUGACCUUAUUGGAUCUGUGUUAAAUAUAUCCCUUCUUUUGACAUUUAAAGCUGAAUAUUGAAACUGUACUUAUUAUGUUAUUAAUUGCUGCUUAGAUAGAAAAGAAACUUUGGUGCUCUAGAAUAACAAUAAUAAUACAUAAUUAAAAUUAAAAUGGAAAAUGCAAUUAUGAGUACUUCGAGUACAUUUAUGCUUAGUUUAUAUAUUUCAACAGCAGCUCCCAAUCAAAGGAAGAAGGAUUGAAAUUCAGUAAUUGGACAUCCAAACUACAACCUCUGUUGGCAAAACUACGGAAAGGAGGCUGACUAGGAAGACAAUCUAGAAAUAGGGCAGCAAAGGAACAAAUGUAUAGAAGAUCAUGAAGCCUUUUAAUUCAAUCAUCAGACCAAGUGCAUCAGAGAGCUUAUUUGGAAGCAGAGAUAUUGCCAGGCAAGAAGCAAGAAAUAUUGCAAAUGUAAGGACAUGCAAACAAGUACGAUUGAAAAUUAUGGUGGCCUAAUGUACCAAACAGGUUGGCCAAUAAAAUAAGUACAAUAGAUCACCAUUUAAGCCACAGAAUCAUUUACCAAACAGGUCUAGAUCAAAUCAAAAAAAUUUGGUGAAGCAUAGAAAAUACUAAAUGCAAUGACAAUAAUUGUAACACGCAAAGACAUGGACUACUAGUUGAUGAAGUCGUAUAACAUGUAAUGAGAGUCGAAAAUGUCGUAUAAAUCUACCUUAACAUGAUACUACUGAAUCAAUAUCUGGAGAUUAUCAUGUAAGAAAGAUAACCAUUUGACUCUACCUUGACAAACAAAAAGAAGGCCACUCACUAAAUAAUUGGAGGGGGGAAAAAUAAAGAAAAGACGAAAGAAAAUAAUGGAGGGGAGGGUACAGUAUUUACAUUCAAGAAAUCAAGCAACAAUCUCUACAGACCAUAUGUCGAACACCUUAUGUGCAUCUUCAAGAAAUACAAUAUUUGCAUGCAUAAUCACCGCAUGCAAGAUGUCAUGUGAGAUUACCAACUCUAAUUUGAACGGAGCAUACAAGUAAUAACCUACAUAUUUAGAUGCUGCAUUCAAGAAAUCAAGCAAACAUGCCUACACGACCAUAUGUCAAACAUCUUAUGUGCAUCUUCAAGAAGCCCAAUCUCUACAUACGUGAAUGCCAUACGAAAAGUAUCAUACGAGAUACACAACUAUAAUUUGAAUAAAGAGUGCAAAAACAGAACGUAUUCAUCAUUUAAGAUUUCAAGCAAACCAGACUACACAGUCCUUAUGUCAAACACCUGAUGUGCAUCUUCAAGAAAUGCGAUCUCUACACAGAUGGACACCAUAUACAUGCAUGUCUAUGCCCUAAUCCCCCAAAUUACGGACAUGCUCAAAUAAGAUCGAUCGAUCGAUAAAUCGAGCGAUCGCGAGAGAGAGAGAGAGAGAGAGAGAGAGGGGAGGAGGAGGAGGAGGAGGAACCUUCUCCGGAAGCGGCGGCGGAGGCGGCGGAGGCGAUGGGGGAAGGAGCGUCGUAGGGGGAGGAGGAGUCUCGGGAACGGAGACGGAGGGGUCGGGGGUUUCCGCGAACGGAUGGGAUCGGAGCAAAGCUAUUCGGCGUUUCUUCUCCGUAGUGUUUGGGUGCGAAAUGCGUUCGCGAAAUGGGGGGUUUGGACUUUGGAGCGUGAAUGCGGAUUAAACUGGGCCGCGGUCUAAACUAAACCCAGCCCAAUAGGCUAUGUAUUGGCCCAAUUUUGGGUUUUUCGAAUUAGAACUUUGGAUCUGUGUUUAAACUCCGGACCUAUUUGGAUAUAUCCAAGCAUAGCCUGGAUCCGACCCGAAAGCUUGAUAUAUUAAUUAUCGUUACCAACUAAUAAAAUGUUUAGUUGAUACAUUUACCUUAUACAAGCAAUUAAGAAUAUAAUAUAUUAUACAUAAUAUUAUCCUAAAGCUUAAUUAAUUGGACCUUUGAUGUUCCUUACAAAUAAAGUGAUUUUAGAUGUGGCCUAAUACUAGUUAUCAUUUUUAUCUUAGAUAAUUAAUUUUUUUUAAAAAUUGAUGAAAUAUGAAAAUUUUAAAGAAGUAAUUUGAUUAAUUAGAAACGCCACGUCAUCUAUUUUAGAUUUUUUGGCUUGUGUAGUUUUAGGUUUAGUUUGGUAUUGAGAUCUAUCUAACGCUACUAGAUAAAAUUAAUGCUUCUGCGUUAUCCGGUGGGACCGUGAAAAAUAUAUCGUAACCGACUCAUCACGAUAUGCAAAACGUAAUAUUUUAUAUGAAAAUAAAUAGAAUAUUUUUUCAUCGUUAUUUCUCACUAUACGACGCAAUCUCUCCGCGAUCCCAAAAGAAGCCUUACUUUUAUCCGGUCCCAGUUUGGCUGUUGCUCACCGCACGAGGAAAUGCUUCGACAUCCCGUCGUCGCAUGCUCUCUCCCCUCUCCAUCCGCCGCCCCCGAGCCCAUCUCCGACCCCCGCACCGCGCUCUCCCUCGUCUCCGCCGCGCGCGACCUCCGCCAAGUACACUCCUUCCUCAUCCGCGCCGCCGAGCGCCGCCUCUCGCCCUCCACCUACGCCUCCCUCAUCCGCGCCCUCUCCAAGAGCUCCGCCCCUCUCACGGCCGUGUCCCUCUUCGUCGACAUGCUCCGCCGCUCCCCCUCGCCGUGCUCCGCCCAUCUCGAGCGCACCUUCCCUUCUCUCUUCGUCUCCUGCGCCCGCCUCGGCUCGGCCCGCGCCGGAGCUCCGCUCCAUUCCAUGGCCGUCAAGCUCGGGCUCGCUCCGGACGCGUACGUUCGCAACGCGAUGCUGUUCAUGUACGCGAAUUGCGGCUGUACGGCCGAGGCUUUGGAGCUGUUCCGUAAAUGCGUCGCCUUUGAUGUUGUCGCUUACAACACCAUGAUCAUGGGUUUUGCGAAAAGUGGUCUCCUUGAUGAGGCAUGGAAGCUGUUCGAGGAAAUGCCUGUGAGAACAGUUGUGACUUGGAGUACUAUGAUCAGCGGGUACGCGAGGAAUGGGAGGAGUAAAGAGGCCAUGGAUCUCUUUCGUCGGAUGCAGGGCGAAGGAGUCGAGCCGAAUGCCAAUAUCCUGGUGAGCUUGUUGGGGGCGUGUGCGAAUUUGGGAGCUUUGGAUCAAGGAGAGUGGAUCCAUGCUUACUUAGAGAAGAACAAGUUUGAGCUUAACCCGAUUGUGAUUACUGCAAUUAUCGAUAUGUACUGCAAAUGCGGUAGUGUAGAAAAAGCUCUUGAGGUGUUUGAGAGCGCCGAAAAUAAAGGGUUAUCUUCGUGGAACUCUAUGAUUCUGGGAUUAGCACUCGAUGGGCGUUGUCGAGAAGCAAUCGGGCUGUUCUUGAUGCUUCAAGCUAACGGAUUAAGGCCCAACAAGGUUACAUUCAUUGGGGUGUUAAUGGCUUGCAACCAUUCUGGCAUGAUGAAGAAAGCAUGGUAUUACUUCUCACUAAUGGCUAAUACUUAUGAUAUUGAACCGGAGAUUGAACACUAUGGUUGUAUGGUCGACGCCCUAGGCCGAGCGGGGCUUCUCAAGGAAGCAGAAGACUUGGUUAAGACAAUGCCCAUGAAACCUGAUUCUAUUAUAUGGGGGGCCUUGCUUUCUGCUUGUAGAACAUAUAAGAACACCGAGAUUGGCGCACGGGCGGCCAAACGGGUCCUAGAGUUGGAUCCUCAGGAUAGCGGAGGAUAUGUUAUUCUGUCGAAUACCUUCGCGGGUAGCGGGGAAUUUGGUGAUUCUGUUGGUACAAGGGUGAGGAUGAAGAAAAGUGGGGUGCGGAAGGAUCCUGGAUGCAGUGUGAUUGAGGUGAAUGGUUUGGUACAUGAGUUUGUGGCAAGUGGGGUGUUGCACCCACAGGCUAAAGAGAUUUACGAACUAUUGGAUGGGUUGGAUUCAGUACUUAGGAUGGUUAGAAAUGUGGCGUUUAGCGGAAUGGAGUUCCAAGGCUUGUAUUGGUGUUGAGGUACUCCUUGUGCAGCUUACUUUUUGAUGUUGUAUAUAUUGUCUUACGGAAAUUUAGUAUGCUAUUCCAUGAUGCACACAAUCUACAAUAUCUUGAGUCCCAAAGGCAACUUGUCAGAAAAGUCAAGCUUUGAGAUUUAUCUUCAUAUUGAAUAAUUGAUUAAAUUAGAAGUACUUGAAUGAUCAUAGGUCUGCGGCUUAUACAAAGCCUUCAGAUUGAUUUGGGUUUCGGAGUCGAAUGUUUGGAUAUUUCUUGGAUCAAGCUACUCCUGAUUUUUGAGGAUUCUAUUGAGGGAUAUUAAAAAUAAGUGAAAUACCCAUACUUUUUUAUGUUGAUUUGGAGACUCAUAUACGCCUUCCCAAUAGAUCAAAGGAAACAUAGGCAGAACAAAUGUACAAGCUACAGAUACACCUGAUGAACAUUGUCUGAUGGUAAACAUUACACACCUCAACUCCAAUUAUUGUCAUUCAACAAUUGUACCACAUGACUUUAAUUUAGCCUUGGGAAGAAAACGAUAGGUUUAGUUUUGUAAAAUGGUUUUCGGGUCAUAUACUCAUAUUUGUUAAAUUUUCUAUUCCUUGUGGUUUUUUUGUAUUUUCUGAACAUGCAAGGACAUAAUUCCUGUCGAAUAUAAAUGUUAAAAAUGCCAUUUUCUAACAGCUUUAAGAUUUUGAAGAAUAAUGAUUGUUUCAUAUUAUUUAAGAGGUACUGAGUUCGAAUCCCUUAGACUUCUAUUCUCAUUUAAUUUUCUCCUACUUAUAUUAAGUCCAUGUCAUAUGCCUAUCAAACUGUCUCGAGUCCAGACCAUUCUCUAAACGGCUUAAAUUUUUGGAGAAUAACCGUUGUUUCGUAUUAUAUAAUAGUUCCAAAUGUAAUUUACCAAAUUUAAAGCUUAAAAAGUGCAAAGAUCACCUAGUUGAAAGAGUACAUAAAUAAAGAAACAACAAGCUGGAAGAUUCUUAUUGGUAUCUCAUGCAUAGAGAAACGACAAGCUAGAAGAUUUUUAUUCAUAUCUCAUACAUAAAGAAACAACAAGCUAGAAGAUUUUUUAUUCAUCUCAACAUAGUUCAACAUCUGCUUACUAACAACAUCUUACUCAUCUCUUGGUACCUUGAAGCUACAUAAGAUCAACAAGCACUUUAGUACUCGCCAACGAGCUCUUAGCACUUGCCAACAAGCUCUGAGCCUGCUUCUCAUAGCGGAAGCCAAUUUUCUUCGAAUCGUCCGCGGACCAAACGAAGAUACCAUGCAGCUUCCCUUGCUUCUUCAGAGUAUCACAAGCAGUGAAGAACCCUUUAUCCGGGGUUAAACCCCCACUCCCAUCAGAAGCAAAGCUUACCAACACCUUUCCUCCAUUAUAGUUUGAGCUCUGCUUCUCAAAGUAGCUCAAAAACUGCGAAACUGUCGUGCUUUUAUCGUACGCAUAGAAUUGGAAGUUCACAUAGUCUAUGAGGUGCCCAUAUUUCUUCCACAGUGCUAGGUAAUGGCUUUGGACUUGGCUAUCAUCAAAAGGAGCUAUAGAAGCAAAUUUUAUUACUCCGUUUUGCCUUAGUUUUGUUAGCAAUUGCCCGAUACAUUCCGUGAAUGUAUUCGGAUCAGCUUUGAAGUGCUCAUAGUCUAUGUCAAUUCCGUCGAGAUUAUAUUGUUUGAUGAUUGUUGUUAAAGAGGAGACUGCAUUGUUUACCCAGGAAUCUACAGAGGAUGCGGUGAAGUAGGCGGGGCUACCGCCGACACUGUCGCCUCCGAGGCUAAGCGCGACUCUUACGUUGCCAUGACUUUUCUUUAUUGCUGCUACUUGGGCUGGGGAGAGGUUACUGCUGUCCCAGAAGAUGUUGAAGCGGCCGUUGGUGGGGUUGUGGGGGCUCGAGGUGGUGUAGUCGAUGGCGAAGGCGAGGAUGAAGUGGAAGCUUACACUGGGGUUAAUGGGGACAUCGGAGAACUUAACGCCGGUAAACUCGGCCCCAAUGUACUCUCUAAAGAGCUUGGAGUUUGCUGCAAGAAGAGGACUAGGUAGAAGCAGAGCUGUAAGGGUGGUAAUGAAGAGGAAGAAAGAGGAGUUUGAAGAUGCCAUUGAAGAGUAAGAAUAUGGUCUUGUUUUGGUUGCUCAAUGCUGUGUUGUAGUUCUGGUACAUAUAUAUAUAUAUAGACUUACUGGAGGCAACUAGAUGUGUUUUUUUGUGUGAGAAUUUUAAUAUGGGAACAGAGAAUGGAUAGAGAGAGAGAAAGAAAGAGAUGGAUGGGCAGUUGCAGCUCUGCUUAGCUGCUUAUCAUUUUUUAAAUGACAAGGCAAAUACAAGCAAGACAGCAAGUAAGUCUUCCUGCAUAGAAUAUUGGGUGGAUAAGAUAGUUUUUGUAUUGCAUUAUACCAUCAUCACCCUCCAUGUCAUACCUGUCAAUACAUUAACAACAUAAUGAGAGACAAAUAUGGUGUUUCGUUGCUUUGUAGGAAUACAUAUGCAAUUAGUUCCAAAUUUUUAAUUAUAUAGAAUAAAUAACUCUUACUGGAGCUUAUUAGGAUGCACUGGGUUUUUGAGGAUUGGUCUUACCAGGAUUUGCUUGGAUAUAUGCUUUUGACCUUUUUUUAUUUAUUUAUUUAUGAAUGGAGAAUUUUAUUUCAUCGAAAGCAAAUAAUCCAAUCCCAUUAAAAUAGAAUCUAGUAUGCGUUACCUUACUUGCUAUCCAAUUUGCGGCAUAAUUAUAUUCCCUAAAACAGUGUAAAAUAUAACUUGUUCAAACUGAUUACACAAAAAACAAAUUAGAUACCCAAAAUAAUUGAGUUUUAUUUUAUGGAAUCACCCGAUGACUUAACCAUACACUAACAAUUUUCUAGGAAAAGUAAGAGGAGGGCCUAAAUUAUUCCACUAAAAACAACGGAAAUAGUAGGAUCGCAUCCUACAAAUCACCAAAGAUAAAAUAAAAAUAUAAAAAUCGAAUAAAAAUUGCCGACCAUAGAAGUAACCUGCUUCACAUCCGUGAAGCAACGCAUUUGAUGAGCUUGGGAGAAAAAGUGCACGAUCAAGAAUAGUAAUGAUAAUAAUAACACCUCUUUCUUUUUGCAUCGCUUAGAGAAAAGAGAGAAAGAGGGAGGUGAGAGAGCAAAGGAGGCAUAUAAAAAGAAAUGGGGGCGUACUGUCGGUAUGGGGAGGUAGUAGUAGGUGAACCACUAUGAAGACGAUAGAACGCUGUGACGAGCAUUAAUGAGAAAAAAUAGCAUAGCAGGGUCCAUAGCCCGCAGAAUGCGAAAAAGUCUCGAAGCCGCUAAGCUCUAAAGGUUAUUAAUUCAUAAGUUCAUAAAUAUUCUUUGCUUAUAAAAAUUUGAUGGCUGUUUGAGAGUUACUUUCUUUGACUCUCGAAGAUAAUAGUACUGCUGAAUACAGAAAUAUCUAAAUAUUAGUGUGUCGUACAGAAAAUUAUUUUAUGGUUUAAAGUUAAAAAAAAAUAUUUAAAUCCUAUCUUUAAUAAUUUUAAGCUUUUAUGACUAAUCAAUCGGUUAUUUUCACAUGAUAUCAUGGGUAGUAUAUGAAGCCCUUGCGCUAAUUAAUUCUUUCCAAAUUUAAAGCUUAAUUGUUAUUAUUAUUAUUUUUUCUUUCCUUACCUCUUUCUUGCUGGACAAAUAAAUACUUACGGCAUUAGCAAAGGAAUUAUAAGCAUAGAGGAUAUGGUGCUUUUAACUUUUUAACCCUUAGAUCAACCCCUUUUAUCAUUUGUAAUUUUAUAUCAACUCCUUUAAUCAUCUCUAAUCUUUAGAUUAGUACUAUUAAUUUGUGGGGACCACUCAAUCCAAGGGAAACCGUAAUUAUUCUAACCAUACAAUUUUUGAUCCAAUUGUCAAAAAGUCAAAAACAUCAAAUCCUCUAUACUUCCGAUAGGAUAAUAAUUCUACACUAUAGAGAGAGAGAGAGAGAGUUGCGCUGGAAUAAUAUUAAUAAUAUUUGGCUUCUUUUGCUGUCAAGUUUUUAAUUCUUGGAUGAAAAAUUAUAGGAUUAGGAUGAUAUUAGUUCUUUAAAAUUGAGUGGCCCCUGGAGUUGAGUGGUCCCCACUGGGUUAUAAUAUUUAAUCCAAUAAUUAGAAAUGAUCAAAGAAAUUGAUUCAAAUACUAAAAUACUAAUAGCAAAAGAUGACAAAUACUAUUAAUAAUAUUCUAGCCCAUCUCUCUCUAUACAUAUAUUUGUACUUUGUACU
rnacentral:lncRNA from 1 species